AUAACCAGUGUCAUGAGUAAUAGCGUGAGUCUUAGCAAGACUCCAUAGCCAGCAGGAGGUAGCAUCAUAUCCUGGCGUGAAUACCUGCCUCCAUUGGGGCCUGUUUACAUCUUGGGGACGAGUCAACUCAAUGGCAACAGGUCUCAAUGUGCUAUCAUCGUUGAGGAAGAAUAGUGUUCGAGAAGCAUAUAAGGUGCUAUCAUCCAACUCUCUCACUUUGUUCACAUACGGUAGAAGCAAAUCAUGAUAGUCCAACAUGAACAAUCUCUUGUUCUCCAGAGCCUGCAUGCACACAUCCAUUGAUAUUUAUUCAUUAUGGAAUUACUUCAUAUGGAUGGAUGGAUAUAUAUAUAUGCUUUUUUCUUUAAAACAUGUGGAUAUUAGUUAAUGUUACCUCAUCAAAUGACAUAACUCCUUUGAUUUCUCUUUCCACAAUCUCACUUGUAAUGAGUGAGUUGGGAUCACCAUAAACCGCAGGGUCUAGUUUGCUUUUCAACGGCCACUCCUAGAACAACAAUGUGAUCUCAACUAGCUUACUUUUUCUACUUUUAGUUUCAAAACCGAAACAUGAUUUUCUUUAUAAAAAGAAGUUCCAUCAAACCAUGUACGUACUAGGUGACUCUUCUGUGCUCAUGCACGGGUAUAAAAAUUUACAAAAUAAUCAAUUAUAAUUAAUAUCUUUUUGCUUUCACUUAUUGAUCAAUUUUAAAUCCUAUUAUAAUCAAUAUGUGUGUGAAAACUAAUGUAUGAAAAUUAAAUAUCAUGUUAUGUUUUAAAUAAAAUUAUGUUGUUAUCUCAAUUUAGUAUGAUAUUGUAUAUAUAACAAUUUAGAUAGGUUCAAUUAUUCUUUUUGGUAUAUUAGAUUGUUUAUAAUUUUCAACUAAAUCAUAAUUUAUUGUGGUUUAAAAUAUAUUAAAAUCAGAUUAUUGUAAUUAUAUUUAGUUCGAUUCAUCAUAUUAAUUUGUUAAUAUAUUUUAGAAAAAUCUCUAUUAUUUAAUGUAUAAGUUGUUUUAGGAGGCGUCAACAAAAAAAAAGUCGACAAAAAAAUUGUUUUAGGAGGAAAUAGAAAUAAAAAGUAAGUGUUACUUUAGUUAGAAUUGCACUAACCAAUAUAAACAGUGAUGUUCUGAAAGUUAUAUAAAUAACUAAAUUAUAAUAACUGAUUAAUGUUUUGCUUUCACUGGUUCAUAAAAUUUAUGAAGGUUUAUAACUUAUGUCUUGAAAAAUAAAUAUAAUUUUUAAUUAUAUUGAUAACUCAGUUUGACAUAUAAUUCUAGGUAUAAGAAUUCAGACCAAUUUGAUUAUUUACUUUUAAAAAAAAUUGCAACAAUUUAACUAAAUUAAAGUAACUGUUUUUCUUGGUUCUAAUUAUGGUAAGAUAUUGUGAAUCAUUUUGUUAUUUCAUUUAUUUUGGUUAUUCAUCUUACAUUAGUAAGUAUUUUAUAAAUCUUAUAUAAUUUCUAUAGUCCAAAACUAACAUUAUAAGAAGAAAAAAGAAACAACUUCGAAUUUAAAAUUAGUAGUAACUUUUAUUUGAAAAUAGUUAAUAUUUUCAAUCCGUUAAUAUGUUCUAAAUAAAAUAUCAUAACUACUAGAUAAUAUACAAAAUAAAUAAUAUGUUUUUAUGUAUUACUGAGUAUAUAUAUAUUUUAAACGAUAAUAUUUUGAAAAUUAAUUAAUUGUUAAACUAAUUUUUAUUAAUCCAGUAUACAUUUAUUACUGAGUUUUGAAAAAAAAAACAAUGUAAGAAUUGUUUAUAAAAGACUUUCCAAAUAGUUUUACAAAGAUUUAUAGAUAUUUUCCAUUUUGUUAUUUAAAAAAAUAUUAAUAAAAACUAAAAUAAAAUUUUUGAUUAUGACAAUUACAAGAAGUUUAAUUCAUUAAGGUUAUUAAUGUAGUUAGCCGUAUUAAAAAUUAACGUGAACACGAAACAUAGAAAAAUGACUUCUACGAUAAUAUAGCUAUUAGAUAAAGCGUAUAUAGCUUACUUGAACUAGCCCAAUGCAAAGGGGAUUAAGGCCAGCAAGUGUCUGGCGAGCAAACUCGUCGUCUCGGAUCCAUGAAAAUCUAUCCUCUGAAUCAAAGUAAAUGAUACAGUAAAGUGAGAUUAAUUGUAGCUAGCUGUAUAGAAUUGGAUAUAAUAAAUAUAUAAAUGGAGGAUUAAAAAAGAGCUUGUUACUGUCAAGGAGGAUAGGGGAAUCAAACUGGAGAAUAUCAUCAGCUUCAGCAACAGCUUUGACAAGUCUGGGGAUCAGAGGAAAAAGGCCAGCCUUCUUGGGAAGCUCGAUGCCUUCUUCAAAGAGAUCUUCUAUGGACUUGAAGUGUGGGAAGGGCAUGUUGGGAUCCACCAGAGCAGCUUCAAUCUGUGGGAACACAGCAGGAAGAGCCGCCAAGAUUGUCGUGCCCGUGAAUGCAGUGCCCUUGACUGUGGACCACUCCUCGUCUCUAGGGACAUAGAAAUCCCCUUUGCGUGUCUCAAUGGAGGGGUAUUUUCGGCUUGGUUUGCGACCAGUCUUGCACCGCCUUGGGUAUGGAUGAGAGAGGCCUCCCAUAACGGGACGGGCAAGUUUUGGAUCUUUGUCAGGAUCACCCACAUCGUUGUACACGUCAUAAUCGUAAACGCGCUCAAACUUUUUGAGUUCACCAUCACGCUCACGGUUCUUGCCUUGCAGGGUCUCCAGCUCCUCUUUUCGCAGCUGUUUAAGAGGCUCAGGAGUUUGGAGAGGCAAGUAGGACUUGUUGGAGAAGAAUGUCCGCUUGGUUGGGUCAUCGGACUUGGAGGCCACCCACGAGUUACAUGUAAAGGUAACGGGGCCGUCAGGUAGCUCAAGCUUCAUUUCCUUGAGGAAUAUCUCUCUAUGGGCCUCGUUUAAAACUCUGAUGGCACCCACCGCUCCAAAGUCUUUGGGCAUGUCAAAUACACACUCGUACUGAUCCUCACCAUGUGCAUCAAUCACUAAACGUCGUGCGUGAUCCUUCACCGGAUCCUUCUCCAUUAGCGUCUCUGACAUGUGUUAAUGACUUGGUUAAGUAUCAUUACCAGUAUUCACUACUGAUGCAUUAGCCUACUUUUUACUUCUUAUAUAAAAUAAUAAUAAUAUGUUUGCUUGAUAAUUGUACUCACGGGGGUCAGUCUCGGCGCUAAUAAGCUCGACAAGCAGUGAAACUCCAAGCAAAUCGGUGAAGCCAACGGAAGGUAAUAAGCCUUGUUUGGCCGUUAUAAUUCCCUUUACUUUGAUUUUCUUAACUCUUUCUUUCGCUCUCCAAUCAAUAUCAAACUUUGAGGCUGUGACCGUACAUCGUCCUCUGAGGUUUGGACGAGGGCACAGCUUGUAACGAUGUCCUGCCGAGAGGGGGUUGAUGAGUGCUGAUGGUUUAGUGAACUCAGAGCUGAGACUCUUUGCUAUGUUUAAGGUCUGGAGACUGGACGAUGCCUCUUUACAAAACAUCUUUUAUCUGUUUGCUUUUCUAUUUUGCUUACUCUCUUGUGCAUCCCCGCUACAUCUAUUUAUACAAGUAUAGAAAAUAUUAAAUCUUUUUCUCAUUUCAAAAAGUAGAAAAAAAUGUUUUCUACUGAGCUAUCAACAAACUUUCUCAACUUACUAUCUUAACUUCAUAAUAUUAAACUUUCUUCACUUGAUAUCUUAAAUCAAGUUACAUUUUUAAUCGAGUUUUUUUUUUUUGAUAAUCCAAGGAAUCCGAACACUUGGAGGGAACCCACUAUGUACCUGCUGAUUAGGUCUGCAGGUAAGCCUUCCCUGUCGAACCUCCAUAGUUUGUCAUAGACAUCUGAACUUAGCUCUAAUGAAUACUUUCCGGGCCAGAAACAAGACUCAAUGAUUCCACCUGCGUUGACGAGACUUUGGCGUCCACGAGCGUUGAUCUCCAUCGUGUAGCGGAAGUGGGGAUGCAAAAGCCUAUAGAUAGGAUGCAUGGCACUUAGUUGUCUGUUUGCCGCUAUAAUGUAUGGCUCCAUACAGCAGUGAGUCCUCAGCCUGUAAAAUUUUCCAUCUCUUAACAGCAAUAACACAUACGCAGAAUCUUCCAAAAAUAAAAAUAAAAAAAAUAACACAUACGCAGAGCCGUGCAAGCAUUCAUAACGAACAUAAGCGGUUGAAAAUAAAAUGUCUUAAUUUGUAUAAAAUUAAAUACUAUUGUCACAGAUGAAAAACACCGACAAUAUACAACAUUCAUUCUAAACAUAAUUUAUCCUAUUCUUAUUAUGCAAAUUGAUGACUAAACUUUAUUUUUAAUAUCCAGAAAUCGUUUUAAUGGAAAAAUAACCAAUUUUACUUCAUCAUAUUUUUAUCUUAUUUUCUAUUAUUGUCAGUUUUUCUAUUUAAAAAUAUUAUCUAGGUAUUCUACUAAUAAAACUACGAAAAUGUCAUUAGAAAUCCCUAAGACCAUAAGAAUCAAUCUUUUAUUACUUUCUUUACCCAACCCAUAUUUAGCUUAUCCAAAUUACUAUAACAUAAAUCCAUACACUAUACAUAGAUAUCUUCUUUUAUUUAGGAGUAAAAUUAGUAUACUUAAUUAAAAAUGUUUUAAUCGAAAACAAAAGAUGCCAUAUUAAGUUUAUAAAAAAAACGCUGCCCUAGGCGAACGCUUCAUUUUUCAUAACAGAGGCACGGCUCUGCACAUACGUCUAAUGUGUAUAACCAUAUAUACACGAGAGGAUCAAGUUCGUUCAAUACCAGUGGGAAAUAAGCUGGUGAUAACCAGCGUCAUGAGUAAUAGCGUGAGUCUUAGCAAGACUCCAUAGCCAGCAGGAGGUAGCAUCAUAUCCUGGCGUGAAUACCUGCCUCCAUUGGGGCCUGUUUACAUCUUGGGGACGAGUCAACUCAAUGGCAACAGGUCUCAAUGUGCUAUCAUCGUUGAGGAAGAAUAGUGUUCGAGAAGCAUAUAAGGUGCUAUCAUCCAACUCUCUCACUUUGUUCACAUACGGUAGAAGCAAAUCAUGAUAGUCCAACAUGAACAAUCUCUUGUUCUCCAGAGCCUGCAUGCACACAUCCAUUGAUAUUUAUUCAUUAUGGAAUUACUUCAUAUGGAUGGAUGGAUAUAUAUAUAUGCUUUUUUCUUUAAAACAUGUGGAUAUUAGUUAAUGUUACCUCAUCAAAUGACAUAACUCCUUUGAUUUCUCUUUCCACAAUCUCACUUGUAAUGAGUGAGUUGGGAUCACCAUAAACCGCAGGGUCUAGUUUGCUUUUCAACGGCCACUCCUAGAACAACAAUGUGAUCUCAACUAGCUUACUUUUUCUACUUUUAGUUUCAAAACCGAAACAUGAUUUUCUUUAUAAAAAGAAGUUCCAUCAAACCAUGUACGUACUAGGUGACUCUUCUGUGCUCAUGCACGGGUAUAAAAAUUUACAAAAUAAUCAAUUAUAAUUAAUAUCUUUUUGCUUUCACUUAUUGAUCAAUUUUAAAUCCUAUUAUAAUCAAUAUGUGUGUGAAAACUAAUGUAUGAAAAUUAAAUAUCAUGUUAUGUUUUAAAUAAAAUUAUGUUGUUAUCUCAAUUUAGUAUGAUAUUGUAUAUAUAACAAUUUAGAUAGGUUCAAUUAUUCUUUUUGGUAUAUUAGAUUGUUUAUAAUUUUCAACUAAAUCAUAAUUUAUUGUGGUUUAAAAUAUAUUAAAAUCAGAUUAUUGUAAUUAUAUUUAGUUCGAUUCAUCAUAUUAAUUUGUUAAUAUAUUUUAGAAAAAUCUCUAUUAUUUAAUGUAUAAGUUGUUUUAGGAGGCGUCAACAAAAAAAAAGUCGACAAAAAAAUUGUUUUAGGAGGAAAUAGAAAUAAAAAGUAAGUGUUACUUUAGUUAGAAUUGCACUAACCAAUAUAAACAGUGAUGUUCUGAAAGUUAUAUAAAUAACUAAAUUAUAAUAACUGAUUAAUGUUUUGCUUUCACUGGUUCAUAAAAUUUAUGAAGGUUUAUAACUUAUGUCUUGAAAAAUAAAUAUAAUUUUUAAUUAUAUUGAUAACUCAGUUUGACAUAUAAUUCUAGGUAUAAGAAUUCAGACCAAUUUGAUUAUUUACUUUUAAAAAAAAUUGCAACAAUUUAACUAAAUUAAAGUAACUGUUUUUCUUGGUUCUAAUUAUGGUAAGAUAUUGUGAAUCAUUUUGUUAUUUCAUUUAUUUUGGUUAUUCAUCUUACAUUAGUAAGUAUUUUAUAAAUCUUAUAUAAUUUCUAUAGUCCAAAACUAACAUUAUAAGAAGAAAAAAGAAACAACUUCGAAUUUAAAAUUAGUAGUAACUUUUAUUUGAAAAUAGUUAAUAUUUUCAAUCCGUUAAUAUGUUCUAAAUAAAAUAUCAUAACUACUAGAUAAUAUACAAAAUAAAUAAUAUGUUUUUAUGUAUUACUGAGUAUAUAUAUAUUUUAAACGAUAAUAUUUUGAAAAUUAAUUAAUUGUUAAACUAAUUUUUAUUAAUCCAGUAUACAUUUAUUACUGAGUUUUGAAAAAAAAAACAAUGUAAGAAUUGUUUAUAAAAGACUUUCCAAAUAGUUUUACAAAGAUUUAUAGAUAUUUUCCAUUUUGUUAUUUAAAAAAAUAUUAAUAAAAACUAAAAUAAAAUUUUUGAUUAUGACAAUUACAAGAAGUUUAAUUCAUUAAGGUUAUUAAUGUAGUUAGCCGUAUUAAAAAUUAACGUGAACACGAAACAUAGAAAAAUGACUUCUACGAUAAUAUAGCUAUUAGAUAAAGCGUAUAUAGCUUACUUGAACUAGCCCAAUGCAAAGGGGAUUAAGGCCAGCAAGUGUCUGGCGAGCAAACUCGUCGUCUCGGAUCCAUGAAAAUCUAUCCUCUGAAUCAAAGUAAAUGAUACAGUAAAGUGAGAUUAAUUGUAGCUAGCUGUAUAGAAUUGGAUAUAAUAAAUAUAUAAAUGGAGGAUUAAAAAAGAGCUUGUUACUGUCAAGGAGGAUAGGGGAAUCAAACUGGAGAAUAUCAUCAGCUUCAGCAACAGCUUUGACAAGUCUGGGGAUCAGAGGAAAAAGGCCAGCAUUCUUGGGAAGCUCGAUGCCUUCUUCAAAGAGAUCUUCUAUGGACUUGAAGUGUGGGAAGGGCAUGUUGGGAUCCACCAGAGCAGCUUCAAUCUGUGGGAACACAGCAGGAAGAGCCGCCAAGAUUGUCGUGCCCGUGAAUGCAGUGCCCUUGACUGUGGACCACUCCUCGUCUCUAGGGACAUAGAAAUCCCCUUUGCGUGUCUCAAUGGAGGGGUAUUUUCGGCUUGGUUUGCGACCAGUCUUGCACCGCCUUGGGUAUGGAUGAGAGAGGCCUCCCAUAACGGGACGGGCAAGUUUUGGAUCUUUGUCAGGAUCACCCACAUCGUUGUACACGUCAUAAUCGUAAACGCGCUCAAACUUUUUGAGUUCACCAUCACGCUCACGGUUCUUGCCUUGCAGGGUCUCCAGCUCCUCUUUUCGCAGCUGUUUAAGAGGCUCAGGAGUUUGGAGAGGCAAGUAGGACUUGUUGGAGAAGAAUGUCCGCUUGGUUGGGUCAUCGGACUUGGAGGCCACCCACGAGUUACAUGUAAAGGUAACGGGGCCGUCAGGUAGCUCAAGCUUCAUUUCCUUGAGGAAUAUCUCUCUAUGGGCCUCGUUUAAAACUCUGAUGGCACCCACCGCUCCAAAGUCUUUGGGCAUGUCAAAUACACACUCGUACUGAUCCUCACCAUGUGCAUCAAUCACUAAACGUCGUGCGUGAUCCUUCACCGGAUCCUUCUCCAUUAGCGUCUCUGACAUGUGUUAAUGACUUGGUUAAGUAUCAUUACCAGUAUUCACUACUGAUGCAUUAGCCUACUUUUUACUUCUUAUAUAAAAUAAUAAUAAUAUGUUUGCUUGAUAAUUGUACUCACGGGGGUCAGUCUCGGCGCUAAUAAGCUCGACAAGCAGUGAAACUCCAAGCAAAUCGGUGAAGCCAACGGAAGGUAAUAAGCCUUGUUUGGCCGUUAUAAUUCCCUUUACUUUGAUUUUCUUAACUCUUUCUUUCGCUCUCCAAUCAAUAUCAAACUUUGAGGCUGUGACCGUACAUCGUCCUCUGAGGUUUGGACGAGGGCACAGCUUGUAACGAUGUCCUGCCGAGAGGGGGUUGAUGAGUGCUGAUGGUUUAGUGAACUCAGAGCUGAGACUCUUUGCUAUGUUUAAGGUCUGGAGACUGGACGAUGCCUCUUUACAAAACAUCUUUUAUCUGUUUGCUUUUCUAUUUUGCUUACUCUCUUGUGCAUCCCCGCUACAUCUAUUUAUACAAGUAUAGAAAAUAUUAAAUCUUUUUCUCAUUUCAAAAAGUAGAAAAAAAUGUUUUCUACUGAGCUAUCAACAAACUUUCUCAACUUACUAUCUUAACUUCAUAAUAUUAAACUUUCUUCACUUGAUAUCUUAAAUCAAGUUACAUUUUUAAUCGAGUUUUUUUUUUUUGAUAAUCCAAGGAAUCCGAACACUUGGAGGGAACCCAACUAGCGCCUAAGUACACCUCCGCAGAAGGCAUCCUGGGAUUAAUCAAGUUUAUUUUGAUUCAUACUCUUAGAAAUAAAAAUAUAUUUGAUAAAAUUAUAUAUAAUUUGAAAUACUUUCUUUUGGGAGAAAAUUAUGGGAGAAAAAAUUGAAGUGUUGAUCACUCCGGAGUUGCAUAGACUAAUCAAACUUGUAACUUUUUAAAGACUCACCAAUCAAUUGGAGCUUCAGAUAUACAGCAAUAACCACCAAAUUAAAACUGUUGUUCUAUCAGUUUAGUAAUAUAUGGUUCACAUCAAAUGCCAACCAUAAUUUUAAUUUUUGAUCACAUAUUUUUUGAAUUAUGUAUCUGGUGUUAAGUUAAUUUAGAACAGAUAUUUUUUAUCGUUAAGGUAUAGUAGUUUAAGAAUUCACUUUUCUAAAUAUUGAUUAAAAUAUAUUAAUACUAAAAUUAUUAGUUCUCGUAUUUUUAGUAUGCAUGAUAUGACUUAAGAAAUAAUUUUGAUUAGAAAUAAAAAUAUAGUUGUUGAUUAAAAAUACUUUAAUAAUUUAUUCAUAUAUUUACUAUUAAAAUUCCAAUUAUUUGAAAUAAAAAAAAUUACAUAUUUAUCUUCUAUAACUGAUUACAGUUUUAGAAAUAUAAAUAUUUAGAAAAUAAAAUUUAAUUGUCAAAUAUAUUUGAAUUCAUUAGUAGUACUAAUAUAAUUAGGUUUGGAAAAAUCAAAUCGAGCAAGACUUGUAAAAGAAAACUUCUCACAUAAUAUUAUAAUAAUUUGUGAUAUUUUUAUUUUGAGAUACUUUUUAAUUUUUUUAUUUCCAGAACAUCAGAAUAAAUUUUUUUAAGUUAAAAAUUUUGUUCAAAAAAUAGUGUAAGAACUUUAAAUUUAAUAAUAGUAAUUGAUCAUUAUUAUUUUGAUUCAUUAAGUAUGUAUAUGUAGCUGACACUCGUGGGAGUUUACUUGAGGAUAGAUCGAUGAAUAUAUAUGAAAUGAUAAAAUGUUUUUUUUAUUUGGUCCAUUGGUUUUUUGUUGAUUUAUCUAGCAAAAAAUAAGUCAUAUUAAAAGUUAAAGUUUAUGAAAAUUAAUAUGUGCAAGAUUAUAGGAAUAUUUUAUAAUUUUGAUGUUUUAAAUUUGAUGGAAAGAGAAAUUGUGGUCUAUAGUAAAUAUGAUUCAAGGAUAUACUGGCACAAUAAAGGAUGAAGAAUACGUUGUUGUAAAAAUACCGAGAAAGAUUAGUAUGACGAUUGAGACGAUAUUCAGGAUAAAACUGUGCAACAAUAUGUUUGUGUUUCUCCGGUUAUAUUACUAAUCAGGUAAUAAAAAUCAUAACUUGUAGUAUGACGUGGGAUCAGUAAGAAAAAAAGUAUAUGUUGAAGUCGUUUUUAAACAAGUUGUAUAUGCAGUGGAGGUUGUACGAACUGAAAAUGUAUAAUCUGGUGUUCUUAUUGCGUAUGUAACAAAUUCAAUUAAAUCAUCCGUGAUCUGUAACAGUUAUAAACGAGGACUAAGAGAGAGCCAUGAUUCUAAUGUCUUCUUUUGCCUUCUCCAUGGUGUUCAAUAAGUUUAAGUUCCUUUUUAUACUACUCAGUCGUAAGCACAAAUGUAUCAUUAUACGUAGUAAGAGAUGUUAAUCCAACCCAAGAUGGCUUAAAGCAAAGAGAAUGCAAGUGGUCUUUUAAGCUAAGUAAUUAAGUUUGGUUUAAAAUACAUAAGGCAAUGAUCUCAAUUCAAAUCAAUUAAGAAACUCAGCAAAUAACAAGUUUUAAUCAAGGUUUGAAAGGUUAAACUGAUGGAGUUGGGUAACCAAUUAAGGAUAAUAGAUUUCAAACUUUGAAUGCUAAACACAAUCAAUUAACAUGUUUCUUCAACCUAGGAUCUUAAAUAUAAACUAAUCCACUACAGUGACAGUAACUCCUAUGUUAAUCAUGCAUUUAACAUCAACUCAUGUUGGCUAACUACACUCAAUCAUGCAUUGGAAACAAGUCCUAAUAGUAAUAAUACAUCUCUAGUAUGCAAAACAUCAAUUCUCGUUGGCUAAGCAAGCAAAACACAAGAUGAAAUUCAUUCAAGCAUUUCAUCGAACACUUCUCAGCCAUGAAAUCACCUUAAAAAGUAACAAAUUCUAAUCUAGCAUUAAAACACAUUAUAUGUACGAAACAAUGAUAAUCUAGCCCUAAGCAUCACAAUUCAUACAUCAAUAAUCAUAAUAAACCUUACCCAUGAGUCUAAGAGGAGACUAUUCUAUAAUCACCAAAUUCAAUAAGGUUAGACAUUUCCACGAAAACCCUUUAGCACAUGUUAAAUUCAAGGGUAACAAUUAUAUAAAGGAAAAUAAUCAAUAUAAAUAAAAGUUUAGAAGAAUAAAAUGCUUAAAAGAAGAUAAAAUCCAAAACGGAAAAGGUAAAUAAUUUUCAGAGAAAAAGAGUUAUUUGGGGUUUUUUUCCGAAAACAUUUAGACUUUUAAAACUAGUACCAGUUGACCAAAAUGAAACUACGUCAAGUUUAUUAUAGGAUCAAUCAAUUCUAAGAAGGGGAUCAACUGAUCAGACGUUGAAUCGAUCACUUAUGGUUUCUCGGAUCAACCGAUUCAAUCAUCUCGACGAUUUCCACGUUGCACUCCAGAUCGAACGAUCAGAUGAAUUUAGAUUUAUCAAUCGGUCGCUUCUUUGAGUCAAUCGAUUAUGAAAUCAUGCUUCUAAGUAUCCAUCUCCUUUGGUAAAUCUUCCUUUGCUAAGAUAAUUAGCUAAAUCAAAAUUUUAAUAGUUUUUCAACAUAUUACACCAUACAAUAGAAAUCAGGAAAGAACUAUUUCUUAGUUGAAUUAGAGUGUUCGUAUUUUGUUGUUUUCUAGAGAAGUGCUCCACUGCAUGUUUUUGUUGUUGCUUAAAGAAUUUACUACAUUAUUUCUUAGUUGAAUUAUUAGAAUGUUUGUUAUUGUUUUGUUGUUUUCUAGAAAAGUGCUUCCCUGCACGUUUUUGUUGUUGUUACCAAACUUAUAACUAAAAAUUGAUGAAUGGCAUCGUACGUAUCUCUGUCGGAUUUAUGGGGACGCACUUGCCGGUAAUGGCCAGAAGUUUAUGUCAUAAACAGAGGAGUUACAUGAAAUAAAUGCUAAGAGCAUGAUUAUUGGGGGUUUUUAUGGUGAGGUUUUUAGCGGAAUAUAAGAUUUCGUCUCUUAACUUUUAACUAAAAAAACUAAGAACCGACUCUUAAAUAACUAGUUUGAUAUGACAUAAACUUAUUGAUUGUGUUUGAUAUGGGUCCAUCUGGGACUAUAGUGUAGACUUAUUGAUUGUGUUUUGGACAUUUUCAAAUUUAGAAAAAUGCUAGUUUUGAGAUGAACCUGUUUAAUUUUGAUUUUGUAAAUAAAAAUACGCUUGCGACAAAAAUAUAUUUAAUUUUUUUAAUAAUAAAUAUUUUAAUUUGUUACAUGUUUGAUGGAAAAAAUUUGUAUAUCUCUUAAACAACAACAGUAACCCAACCCAUCAUAUAAUCAUACAAAUGAUAAAAUUCUUUAUUAAAACAUUAUUUGAUAUUCUAAAUUUUAACCAGUGUGAAUUAGAUUAGUGCGAAGCAAAGUUGAGUGGACUACUUUCAUGUGGUUUACGCAAGGAGUCCCUCAAUAAUAUUUUAUCAUUUGGUUAACUGUCAAAACAGGUUGGCUACCAGAGAUAGAAUAUGAAUCUAAGAAAUAACGCAGGGUUGUCAAUUAUGUGGUGAGAGAAACCAAAUAAGAGAUCAUAUUUUCUUUACUUGUCCUUAUUUUUACACUGUCUGGGAACGACCGCGAUCGCUCGGUCAUUUAGACUCAGUUAUAGCCAAAAUGGUAUUCUAGACUAAUAUCUAUCACAUAUGGAGGGAACGAAAUGUUGAUCGUCACAAAUGGACAACAACUGAACAACUCACUUGAAUAGUUGAUAAGGUAUUAAGGAAUAGAACAAUAUCACUAAAGUACAAACCAAGACAUCAGUAUGCAGGGCUACUACAUAAAUGGUUUCAACAUUCUAUUUGAUUUUGGCUACUUUCCUAUUCCUUUCUUUGUCACACAUAUGUUAACCACUUAUAGAAUUUGCAUAUAUUUUACUCGUUUGUAAUGCAUCUCUUUUAGAUGAAUAAUAAAUCUAAAACUUCAUCAAAAUUUUUAUAUUCUAUCUUUAAAACUAAAUAUUUUAUAGAAAAAAUUAUAUAUUUUAAAAAAUUAUUUACUUUCUAAAUUAUAUGUAUGUUAAUAAAAUAUACUGUAAAAUCCAUUAAUUUUGUUACUUUGUGUAUUAUUACUUAGAUUAUUUAAAUGUAAAAAAAAAUUAAUAUAUUAAGUUAUCUAUAAUUUUUAUUUUGUAAUUAUUUUAAUUAUACGAUGAAAUGUAAAGAGAAACAUUAUUAAAUUUUUUUAUCUUAUAUAAAUUGAAGCCGAAUUAAUAUUAAUUUAUUAUACUACUAUAAUAGUGAAUAUGAAUUAUUUGACUGUUAAAAACUUACUACUAAUUUUUAUAACUUUGAUAUUAUAAAAGAAAUAUACACCUGGCCUUCAUGGACCAAUCGGGGUUUGGAGCUGAAUCAAUCAGAUAUUAAAAUUUUCAAUUUUUCAGUUUAGUCAGAUUAUGAUUCGAUUUGAGUUUAGUCGGAUUCGGAUUUGGGUAUAGUAUCAUUUCCAAAAAUACGGUAGAACCCAAUAUAAUUUUUGGUUUUGGUUUGGAUUCAAUCAAAUUUUUGGUUUUCAGUUUAUGACUUCCAUCCCCAUUUCUAUAUUAUAAAAGUUCAGUUCGGAUUUUUUCCGGGUUUAGUCAGGUUAUGAUUCGGUUCGGAUCGAUUUGGGUUUAGUAACAUUUCUAAAAGCCGGUAGAUAAAAAUUUGAAAUGAGAAAUGUGAAAUGCUCACAAUUAUUUUUGGUUCCAAUGUAAUAUUUGACAAGUGAAAUUAGAAAACAAAACUCAAAAACUAUGUGCAAAUACAUCAUAUCUGAUAAACCAGAAGUAGGAACACAUCAAACCCGACAAACAUUUUGGUUAAAAAGGAGUGAAGAAUGAACAUUGUUCCGGAUCAGACGAGUUCAACUUGGGUUAAGCCAACGCGGAUUCACUCACCCGCGUCGCCGAGUCGAGAGGACGCAACAUGAGCUCCAGCACGGGUCGAACGACGCGGGAUCCAUUACCCGCGCGCAUGAAGAAGCAGCAUCAUCGACGAUCCAACGCGGCUUGGAUCACGCGGGAUGGCCUACCCACACGCACGAGAAUGGAGCUGCUCGACGUCUUGACGCGGGUUGAGCUCACGCGGGUUCCCUUACCCGCGUCACGAAGAGAAGGAACCGAUAGAGUCACGUGGGACAGAGCCACGCGGGACAGAGCCACGCAGGAUUGCCUACCCGCGCGCAUGACAGAGAAACCUCGACAACGAUCCGACGUGGGUUUGCUGACGCGGGUUGUGCCCGUCCAUUUCUACCCGAGUCGAAACUUAUCUUUAGUCGGAGUUUAAUGUUUUAAGGGUCUUUUUAGACUUUUUAAUGGAAACCAUUAGGUUUAGCAAAGACAUAUAAAUAUUCUUGUAAUCCCAAAGUUGGGACUUAUCUUGUUUUCUAUCUAAUCAAAAAGGAACCUUUAGGUAAAAAACCUAAUCUUGAUUAUUAUCCUUUGGGAUUGCUUUGUUAAUUUGAUCACUAAUCAUGAUUAACACCAAAUCAUAAUUGAUUCUUGGGUUUAUCAUGAAGAUUAGUGAGUAGUCAUAUUUGGAUUCAUGGGUUAGGGAGACUAAGGGUGAUUAGGCUAGAUCUAAGGUGUUGUAGCACAUAUCCAUCUUGUUCCUUGCUAGUAAAGUGCUUUAAUACAGUUUUAGAGUUGACCUCUCUAAAGUUGAGCUUUAGGCAUUUCACACCCGAAAGGUGUUCGAUGAAAUGCCUGAACCAACUCUACUAAGCUUUUAACAUUCUUUACCAAAGAGAUUUGAUGUUAAAGGUGUUAAGAUGGCUAAUGAACUUGAAAUUAAUGAUUGCUUAGAUAAUAUUCAACCAAAGAAAUUUAAUGCUUGAGUUAUCUUAGUGAAUGAGCUUUCAUCUAGAGAUAGAGUUUGUUUAGGAUUGUGUCUAGGUCUAAGGUUGAUAGAUUGAUUGAAAGAUACUACCUUUAGAUUGAAACUUGAUCACCCAAGGUCAAUUCCCUUAGCCCAUGAAUUCUCCCAUCGCAUAAGAAAGAAAAGCUUUGCUCUUUAUUGCAUUUUAGUAGUAUUCUAGUUCAAAAUCAUCUUGCCAAUUGAUAGCAUUUAGAUUAAGCAUGGUCUUGCAUUCCCUUUGCUUUAGGAUCACUUAGAACUGGUUUGACAUCCUUUAUACUAUAACAUUUGAUUAGGAGCCUUGAAAACUCCUAACAUCAAAUUGGCGUCGUUGCCAAGUUGAUUGUGACAUUGGGAUUUAGUCACUUGCUUGAGACUAAGUCAAUUUUUGUUUAAUUGUGUUAUUGCUUCUCUUUCUUUUUCUCCCUUUGCAUUUCAGGUGUAUGAUCACAAGAAGCAGAGGUGCAACAAACCUAGUUCCAAGAGUGGAAUACAUUAGAGCUCUUGAGAGGGAGAUUGCAAGAAAGAGAAGAGAAGUAGAGCAACAGGCUCACUUGCAAAGAUUGGGGUUUGAUAUGGAGAAUCUGCCUCAAGAUGGUGAUGCCCUAGGGGGCAUUGAUCCAAGAGCUGAUCACCUUAGACCACAGCGCCAGCCACAACAUCCACCGUGCCAAGCUCGUGCCAUUGGAGCCUAUGAUCAACCUCACAUUAAUGGUCAUAGGUUGGGAAUCAGAGCACCACCAGUGGAGAACAACAACUUUGAGAUCAAGUCAGGACUGCUCAACACCAUAGAGAACAACAAGUAUCAUGGCCUUGCUGCUGAAGACCCUUUUGAUCACUUGUACAAGUUUGAUAAAUAUUGUGCCUUGUCCAAGACAAAUGGUGUUUCUGAAGAUGCUUUCAAGUUGAAGUUGUUCCCUUUCUCUUUGGGAGACAAGGGACACCAGUGGGAUAAGACUCUCCCAAGUGACACUGUCACUACUUGGGAAGAGUGUAAGAGAGAUUUCCUAGACAAGUUCUUCUCUACUUCAAGAACAGCUAAGAUCGGAAAUGAAAUCUCUGGGUUUCAACAGAAAGGUCUAGAAAGCUUCAAUGAAGCAUGGGAGAGGUUCAAGGGCUACUGUUCUCAAUGCCCUCAUCAUGGUUUCAGCAAGGAGAGUUUGCUUAGCACUUUCUAUAGAGGAGCUCUACCACAGUGAAGAAACAGGCUUGAUACUGCCAGCAAUGGUUUCUUCUUGGGAAGAACUGAGGAAGAGGCAGAGGAACUGGUAGAGAACAUGGCCAAGAGUGACUCGGUCUACAGUGAAGAGCAUGAUAUGAUCAACAUAAGUGAUGAUCAGCAGACAAAGAAAGAGAUCAAGUCCUUGCAAGAAAAGAUGGAUCUGCUUCUUUCCAACCAAGCUAAUCAGGAGCAGAUGAACUUUGUGGGUGGUCCUAGUCAAGAGGUUCCUCCUAAGGUCAAUGAGGUUGAUGGUUUGGAAGGCCAAGAAGAACUAUGCUUCAUCAACAACAAUGGUACUUGGUACAGAAAGGAACCUAACUUUUAGUACAACAACUACCAGCAAAGGUCUUACUCCAACAACCAGCAAGGAGGCUACCAGCCAAAGCAGAACACACAGCAAGGGAGCUAUCAUCCUAGGCAAAACAUCCCUCCUAGUUUCAACAAUCACAGCAAUCAGUCUACUCAAGUUCAAGGAAGUUCUUCACAAGCUCCAGCUUCAGAUACAAGUGUGGAUACAAUGUUCAAAAAACUCUUGGAUUUUCAGGCAAAGAAUGAGAAAAUAAUGGGCUAUGAGUUCAAGAACAUUCACUCCAAGAUUGAUGGAAGCUACAAUGAGCUCAACAACAAGAUCCGAAAUUUGGAGAACUAGUUUGCUUCUAUGAACUCUCAGCCAAGUCGCCAACAAGGGUCAUUACCUGGAAAGCCAGAGGAAAAUCCCAAGGAAACAAUGAAAGCAAUCACCCUACAGAGUGGUAGAGAGUUGUCUCCAAGAGUUCUCACCAAGGAUGGUGAAAAACAAGGUGGGGAGGUGGCCAUCAACAUUGAUGAUGAAGUGGUGAUUGUAGAUGAGAAGGUUGAUGAAAACAUUCUGGAAAAGAUUGUUGAAGCUAACACUACAAGAAAACAAGUAGUUCCCGACUGCAGAAUCAGAAGCGAAACAGUCGCAAAUGACGUUUUACGACUGAAUAGCGACUACGAAGCAUGGUCAUCAAUCAACGCGUCGGUAAUUACAUUGGUCGUAAAUCAGUCGCUAUAUUACGACUGUUCUAUGACUAAUUUACAACUAAACAAUUCCGUCGGCAUAUAGUCGUCUAAUAAUGAUAAUAUGUUACGACUACACUCCGAUUGUUUCACGUCUAAUAUAGGACUAUUCUUAGUCGAUUACUUAGUUUAUCAGAAGUCGUUAAUCAGUCGUUAAACAGUCGUUUAUUAGCAGUCAUUAAUUAGUCGGAACAUAAAGUCAUAGUGUAGUCGUUAAUUUUGCGACAGUUUAACAACUAGUUGUUUAGUCCGAGUGUAGUCGCAAUGCAGUCGCUAAUUUUGCAAUCAUUUAGCGACUACUUGUUUAGUCUGAGUGUAGUCACAGUUGUUGUCGCAGUUCAGUUGUUAAUUUUGCGACUACUUAGCGACUACAUGUUUUUAUCAGUCGCUGUUUAGUCGUAAAAUGUUGUAGUUUUAUCCAACUGAAUUACGACUCCCCUUUUGGUUUCUUUGAAUUUGCCAUUCCGAUUUUAGGUACUUUCUGGUUUGUAAUGCUAAUAAAUCUAUGCUAUUGAGCAUUGUAAAAUUAGAAAGCAGUAGUUAAUUUUAAAACUGAAAAUGUUAAAGCCCCAAAAGUUUGAAACAAGCAACUAAACAAAAGAACUUACAAAAGUCAUAAGUUUCUAGGUAAAUAAACAGGAAAGCAUGAUCAGGUGCUGGAAUUAGCAGCUACAAACUCAUUAUAUAAUGGAUUAGUUGCAGCUACAAACUUCCCCACUAUAGAGAACUCCUUGAUCUGCUUUGAUUGCUCUGCAAUACAAGCACCUUGCCCUUCAAUAAUAGCAGCUUGUGCUGCAUUAGAAGCAGCCUGCUCUUCUAUUUUGCAGUGAGCAUCUUCAAGAAGCUUCUUCAUGUUGAGGAAUGCAGAAGAAGAGAAUUCACUGAACGUCCGUUUCCCAUUGACGAGAGUUUGCUGGAGGCUUCCAAUGCCAUAGUGCUUUCCUCUUUCAUUUGUGAAAGUUGACUACAACAACAAAUCAAAUUGUUACUACAAAGCAGAAGAAAAAAGUAUCAAGUAUAAAGAACAAAUAAAAAAAUAAAAGAAACAGCUUACCAAACGAAAUAUCUCGUUAUCCUCCUCUAUGGAGAGCUGUGGAUCAUUGGAAGCACUGUCUGAAGUCUGUGAGUUUUCAGCCUCAAGGGCAGUCAACUUGGCUUCUUUGUUCUUCUUAUACAUCUCUGCAACCUUCUCUGCUUUCAAAUCGACAAAGGUCCCAUCAUUUCUUGUAUGUGUCUCCAUGGAAACUUCACCAAGAGUAACUGGUCUGCCCAAUUUCUCAACCUAAAAUGGUUAAAAAGGAAAGUAAAGGUUAAAUGACCCAAAUACAAGUUAAACUUGUAUGAUUGGAGGGAAAAAGGACUUACCAUUUCAUGUUUGAUUUGUUCGAAAGACUUCUGGCCGGAGUUGUGCUUGUCUGGACCAAGUCCGUUCCGGUCAGACAACCGAGAGUCUGAUGCUGUCUGACUCUUUUUUUCCGCUUCGGGAGUGUCCCAAUACGCUGUCAUUUGUUCCCACAGUUCACCGUGGAUCCAGGAUGGUCGCACUCGAGACCUCCUACGAACGCUAACCAUGUCCUUCAUACGUCGCUGACAUACCGCCUCAAAUUUCUCCUGAACAAUACCAGUGUGUAUUUGAUCUCAAGUGUGAGUUUUCUACAAAAAAAAACAGAGAAGGUUGAUGUUAAAAAUCAAAUUAAACAAAAAUUGAGAUUAAAUAUAGAAGAUAAAACUUAACUGCAAAUUCUACAAAUAUCGUCUCUCUUUUGUUCUGAGGCACAACACUCCAACUGUAAUAAGCUUCAUCAAACUUUUUUGUAAAAGUCUUUGUGAUCCUCCGGGUCAGUUUCCCUUUGUCACGACCAAACCUCAAAACACAGAAACAAAAUAAUGAAUAUGUUAGAAUGAAACACAAUUAAUUAUUCAGUGACAAAGCCAACCAAAGCAAGCCAAAGUCAAUUAAAGAACCAGUGACUAACGAAAAUGCAAGUAAAUAACAUUAACAAUCACUCCAAACACAGGAACCAAUGACUCGUCAAGCCUCAAGUAUAUAACAUCAACAAUCACUCCAAAUAUUAAUCUUACAGUAGCAAAGCCUCAAUUAAAGAACUAGUGACUAACGAAAAUGCAAGUAAUUAAUCUUACAGUAGCAAAGCCUCAAGUAAAUAACAUCAACAAUCACUCCAAAUAUUCACAAACUUGACCCUGAGAACUGCUGGAGAAGUCGCGUCGCUGACGUUUCAGACCGUCGAGAUUGUGGCGGUGGAUAUGGUUGAUGAACAGGCCCUGAAGCAGCUUGAGUUUGGGCCUCUGAGUCUUGGAAGAGCUGCCUCGGAGGUGGGUAGUCACUCACGCCUGGUGGAGAUCGGCGGUUGGGGACAGGAGGAGCUGUCGUCUUAGAAACGAACUGGUACUGCUAGGGAAGGGGAGAUUUUUGUGAACGUUUCUGCUUCUUGUUUGAUGACAUCGUUUCAAAGAGAGAUGAGAGAUUAGGGUUCUUUAGGUCUCAAAAGAGAGAUGAGGCAUUUCUGGAAUUCGGCGAUUAGGAUUUGGACAUAGUGAGAUUCGAGAGAGGGUGAGAGAUUAGGGUUCUUUGGUUUCGGUGGAAUCGUAAGAGAGUGAGAUGUCUUUGUUAGGGUUGUCUGAGUGUAUUAGGCUUAGGUUGGUUUUGUUUUGGUUUUGGGUUUUGGGUCUAAAAAUUGGGCUUAGCGGGAUUUGAUUAAUUGGUUAGGCGGGAGUUAGGAAAAUUUUGCAAUUGGGUUUACACUUUACCGGGGGACUUUAAAAAAUUCAGGGGGAAAAUCGGGUUUAGGGUCUAGCAAUUUAGGGUUUAGCAAAUUUAGGGUUUAGAAAUUUUUUUCUUUGCUUAUAACAAUUUACGGUCUAGCAAUUAUUUUUUUUUGAUCAAUGGAUAUAGCAAUUUAGGAUAUAACACUUAACAAUAUAAAAACACAUUAUUAGGAAGCAAACAACACAUUAUUUAAAAGUAAAGAACAUAAGUUUAGGGAUAUGACUUAAUAAGUUAUGGUAAAACAUUUUAGGAUGGUGUUUCUCCAUCUUCACCUUCAUCAUCAGAAGAAGUCGAGGAUAGAUUACAUUGGAAUUCAUCCUCCGGUUCUGCAUCUUCGACAUCAAUAUCAAGAUUAAUCGGUUCUCCUCGAGCAUGUAACAAAUGGUCGACUGGUAUAUCUUCAAUUGUAGUCAUCAAUACAUCAUCAUCAUUUUCUUGUUGUAACACUUUCGGUUCGUUGUCUUCGUAUUCUCCUGAAAUGAUUCCCCUCGGAUUCACUUUUAAACAUUGUACCACAACUGCUUUGGUUUCUUUACGUACGGAUACGGGAUAUAAUAAACUUGAUGUGCUUGAGAUGUUGUUAUCAUAUAAUAAAAAUUUAAUAAUACAUAUUUAUUUAUAUUAAUUAAUAUGUAUAAAUAAUACGUACGUACCUAGAGUAAAUGGUUCAUAUUUAUAGUAUUUCCACGAUGAAAGAACGUCCACGAUGCCACCAUUGCUCCGCCGAGUGCCUCUACCAAUCACAGGAUCAUACCACUUACACUUAAAAAGUGUAAUUUUCAAAUUCACCACGAACAAAUGGUCGACUGGUAUAUCUUCAAUUGUAGUCAUCAAUACAUCAUCAUCAUUUUCUUGUUGUAACACUUUCGGUUCGUUGUCUUCGUAUUCUCCUGAAAUGAUUCCCCUCGGAUUCACUUUUAAACAUUGUACCACAACUGCUUUGGUUUCUUUACGUACGGAUACGGGAUAUAAUAAACUUGAUGUGCUUGAGAUGUUGUUAUCAUAUAAUAAAAAUUUAAUAAUACAUAUUUAUUUAUAUUAAUUAAUAUGUAUAAAUAAUACGUACGUACCUAGAGUAAAUGGUUCAUAUUUAUAGUAUUUCCACGAUGAAAGAACGUCCACGAUGCCACCAUUGCUCCGCCGAGUGCCUCUACCAAUCACAGGAUCAUACCACUUACACUUAAAAAGUGUAAUUUUCAAAUUCACCACGCCCUCAUACUCAAUUUGAAUGAUAUCAGUUAAGAUCCCAUAGUAAUCAGCUUCAUCUGAUGCAUUUGUGCAACUCUCUCCUUUAACACAUAUGCCAUAGUUAUAAGUCUUUCGUCCCUCACCAUGCUCUUGCGUAUGAAAUAAGAAACCUCUGGUGAAGUAGAUGGGCCAGGUUUUGGCCUUAUUUACGGGUCCAUUCGCAAUAUUUUUGACCCACACAGGAAACUCGUGUGUGUUGCUCCAGUAACGAACCUGCAUAUAUAUAAAAUAUCAUUAUAUAUAGAAUUAUAGACACAAUUAGGUACAUAAUAUUAUUGAUCAGACGUACGUAAUCUUUCACCCAUAUAUGAUAUUCGUCAGCUCUCUUUGUGGAGAGUUCUUUCUCGGAAAUGUCUAUGUAUUUUGCAAUUAGAUAAUCUUCAAACAUCCUAUAAUAGAUCACAACCACAAAUUAGUAUGAGGAAUUAUAGUGCGAUAUAUCUAAACAAAAUAUGAUAAACCAAAUUGUACCUCUCAAAUGGCUGAAAAUAAUCACAAUUUCGCAAUACGUAUGAAUGUGCGCAGUUAUAGUCUUUCCCGGAAAGCCAUAUCUCUUGCAUUUCUCCACUCGGACGACCUACAUGUGUAAAUAUAUCAGGCACUCCACGGACACAAUAUACAGGGACUUCACCUUCAUCAAAUCGUGUAAACAUGCACAAAUUAAUGAACCACAUUACAUUGAAGAAAAAACACGAGUAUACAAAAAAAAAAGGAAUCUGCAGGAUAAUGAAAGUCUUUACCUUGAUUUUAUUUGUAUAUGAUCAGCAAAGUAGUGCUCAGAAAAGUAAGCAAUCUCCUCAUUGAUAUAUGAUUCAACAAUCGAUCCAGCAACAAAUCUUUUGUUCUUUGCUUUUGCUUUCAACUUUUUGAAAUUCCUUUCAAAGAUAUACAUCUACCUAUAAUUGACAGGUCCUCCUAAUUCAACUUCAUAGGGGAGGUGUAUAGGGAGAUGUUGCAUUACGUCCAAAAAUGAUGGCGGAAAGAUCUUCUCUAAAUUGCAGAUGAUCAAAAUAAUGUUUUUUUUUUUAGAAUUUGGAGACGAUCUUUGUGCAAAGUUCUCUAGCAAAGGUCACGGAAAAACAAUACAACACCUACAAAAUUAGAAAUAUUCUUCAAAUCACAGAUCAAGUUGUAUCAUUAAAUAUAAAAAAAAAUAUAACAAAAAUUUAGCACCUGAUAAUGCAAGAUGGACAUUUUUGUUUAGGAGUUCUGAAAAGAUAAAUGGAAGUAGCCGCUCCAUAAAAACAUGGCAGUCAUGACUCUUCAUGCCAGAGAACUUGUUGUUCUCCAAAUCAACACAAUUAGCUAAGUCUGAAGCAUAACCGUCGGGAAAUUUAACUGCGCGUUUCACACAUUCCAAUAAACUUUUUUUCCCGGCUUCGUCCAAUGUGUAGGGAGGAAAUGGAGCUUGACCAUCACCAUCAACUUGUAAGUGUGGCCGAUCACAAAACUCUGAUAUAUCCAAUCUUGACUGGAUUGUGUCUUUCGAUUUACCCUUCACAUUCAUAAGAGUAUUCAUGAUGUUGUCGAAAAAAUUCUUCUCGAUAUGCAUCACAUCAAGAUUAUGACGGAGAAUUAGAUCCCUCCAGUAUGGCAACUCCCAAAAUAUGCUUUCCUUGUGCCAAUUAUGGUACUUUCCAUAUCCAGGCUUCUUCUUUUCAUGACCGUUUCCACCGCAAACAGACGUUUUAGGAGGAUUGACACCAUUUAACUGCUCUGAAUAAACUUGCUCACCAGUCAAAGAAUCAGGUGGAACUUCAUUUACCGUAUUUUUUCCCUUCAAGAAGUCUUUUCUAUUCUUCCUCAGUGGAUGAUUACGAGGAAGAAAUCUUCGGUGACAAUCAAACCAACACGUCUUCCUUCCAUUAGGCAGAUAAAAAGAAUUAGUAUCUUCCAUGCAAAUUGGACAUGCCAAUUUACCAUGGGUCGUCCAUCCGGAAAGCAUGCCGUACGCCGGAAAGUCGCUUAUCGUCCACAGAAGCACGACUUUUUGGUUAAAAUUUUGAUUCAAGGACACAUCGUAUGCUUCAACUCCAGUUGACCAUAGUUCUUUUAACUCCGCAAUCAGAGGUUUGAGGAAGAUAUCAAGACUAGCUCGUGGAUGAUUUGGCCCGUAAUUUAGAAUUGUAAGAAACAUGUACUAUGUUUUCAUGCACAUACCGGGGGCAGAUUAUACGGAGUCAAGAUCACAGGCCACAACGAAUGAUUAUGAGACAUUCCAAAUGGAUUGAAUCCAUCAGCACAUAAUCCAAGAUAAACAUUACGCAGUUCUUCGGCAAACCGGGGAUGUAUUUCUUGAAAGUUUUUCCACUCCGCCGCAUCAGAUGGAUGACACAUUUCUCCCUCUUUUGCUUGGUGCUCAGCAUGCCACCUCAUUGCCGCUGCAGUCUUCUUGCUCUGAUACAUUCUCUUCAACCUAUCAGCUAUAGGGAGAUACCACAUACGGCUAUAUGGUACUUUGGUUCUACGGCGUUUGUCCCUAGGCUUCCAUCUUUCCGCACCACAAAAUUGACAUGUUUCCCACCUUUCAUCUUCUUUCCAAAAUAUCAUACAAUUGUUGAUACAAACAUCAAUUGUAAAAUAUGGGUGCCCUAAAUUGCACACCAACUUUUCUGUCUCGUAGUGUGAGUCGGUUGCCAUGUUUCCAUCUGGUAAAUAGUCAUUCAACAUUUGGCACACCGAAUCCACACACUUUUCACUCAUAUUAUAAUCUGCCUUAGUUUGUAAAACUCGAGCAGCUAAGGAUAACUGCGAGUGACCUUCACGACAACCAUCAUACAAGGGAUUUUUUGCUCCUUCUAACAAGUCGUAAAACUUUUUCGAAUGGUUGCAUACAUCGUCUACUACAUUCUGGUAAUUACCAGGACCAUCCUGGUAAUUACCAUCCUGGUGAUAAUUAUCAGACCUCACAUUAUCACGAAAUGCAUCAUUUACCAUAUCAACAUAUAUAUCUUCAUUACUAACUUCUUUACUACCACUUAAAGGUGUCGGAUCAACAUGACUCGUUCCUAAUUCCAUAUCAAUUUCUUCUCCAUGAUUAUACCAGACAUAAUAGUCUUGCAUGAAUCCUCUACUAUAUAUAUGUUUCCAAAUUUUUGAUCCCGGAAGAAAUUUAUCGUUCUUGCAAACACUACAUGGACAGAAAAAUUUACCCCCAUUGCUCUGCGUGAUAGGCUGGCUAUUUACAAAUGUCAUGAAUUGAUCCACCCCUGCAAUGAACUCUUCCGAGAAAUUUUCCGUCUUUUCAUCGAUACUCUUGUACAUCCAUUCUCAAAAAUGGGAAUAAUUGGAAUUUCCCAACAUUGUAACACUGCAAACAAUUUGUUUUUUUUUUGAGUUUCAACGAUUUUUUGUUGUUUUCACUUUCUUUUUGUGCUUCUGAGCAGAAAUGUAUGGAAAACAUCGUGUUGUAUUUAUUAGAAAAAUUUCUGACUUAUUAGCGACUAAAUACCGACUGCGCAGCAAAAAUUAGUUACACCAACAACCAUAGAACGUAAAUCAUAUGUUUUGCACCGGUAUUGACUGACUGAUUAGCGACUCCGUUACGACCACAGAAACAUCAGUCGCUAAAUAGUCACCAAAUUUCCGACUAUAUUGCGACAGAAUUACUCCGAAGACGCCGUUAGUCGCAGAUCAGUCGUAAUGGUUCGACGAAUUCGGCGGUUGACUUACAAAAAUUAGUUACACCAACCGUAAAACGUAAACCACGUGUUUUGUACCGGUUUUCACCGACUGGUUUGAGACUACCUUAUGACUCUAUACAUCAGUCACUAAAUAGUCGUAACAUUCAGACUACAUUGCGACUACGAAAACUCCGACAACGUAGGGGUCGCGGAUCCGUCGUACAACGACUAAGUGUCGCAGUCCCUAUUUUGCUACUGAUGUACGACUAAUAUUUUCGAGUUGCAAAUCAGUUGUCCGUCAGUCGCCAAACAGUCGUAAAAUUUAACGACUACGCUUUCAGUCACAAACUGUGGUCGGGAAUCACAUGUAUUCUUGUAGUGUAAGGGUAAAGGGAAGGUUGGAGAGGAGAAGAGGACAGUGAAACAUGGUGAAACUGCUACUCCAACGAAGGAAUCCUCUUUUGUUCCUCCUCCCUAUGAGCCAAAGCUGCCAUUCCCUGGAAGAUUCAAAAGACAGCUAUUGGAGAAGUACAAGGCACUCUUUGAGAAACAAAUGAGUGAAGUUCAGGUCACAAUGCCCAUCAUUGAUGCUUUUAUGUUGGUCCCUCAGUACAACAAAUUCUUGAAAGAUGUUGUGGCUGCAAAGAAGAAAGAGAUAGAAGGUAUGAUGAUCUUAGCACACGAGUGCAGCGCUAUUAUCCAGAGGUUAGAUGUUCCAAGAAAGCUAGAGGAUCCAGGAUGUUUCACCUUACCUUGUGCUCUAGGACCCAUGGUGUUUGAGCGGUGUCUCUGCGAUCUUGGAGCUAGUGUCAGCUUGAUGCCUUUGUCUAUUGCAAAGAAGCUUGGAUUUACUCAAUACAAGAAGUGUAGACUCUCUUUGGUGUUGGCUGAUAGAUCAGUGAAGAUUCCUGUUGGUAUCCUAGAAGACCUUCCCUUGAUGGUUGGUAACUUUGAGAUCCCUACUGAUUUUGUUGUGUUGGAGAUGAGUGAGGAAGCCAGAGACCCUUUGAUCCUUGGAAGACCAUUCUUAGCCACAGCAGGAGCUAUUGUGAAUGUUAGAGAAGGAAAGAUUGAUCUUCAUCUUGGAAAAGGGAACAUCCUCCACUUCGACAUCAAUGAAGUGAUGAAGAGGCCAACCAUCCAGAACCAAGUUUUCUACAUAGAGAGCUUCUAGAGGAGUUGGCACUUGAAGACCCUCUACAGCAUGCUUUAACAAUUAAAAGAGAGGUCCAAGUGAUUGAGAACAAGGAAAGUGAUGCCUGUGUGAAGGUGCUGGAUUCUCACAAGGAGAUUGGUGGUGAGGAUCAGAAUGAGGAGCUUACACAUGAGAUUAAACAUGCUGCCUCAGCUACUCAACAAGAAGACAUUCAUCAAGAGGACUGGAGUGAACUCAAGGCGCCUAAAGUGGAGCUUAAACCUCUUCCCCAAGGUGUAAGGUAUGUUUUUCUUGGCUCUAAUGAGACUUACCCUGUCAUAGUGAGUAGUGAACUGAAUGAAAAUGAAUUGUCUAAACUUUUGAAUGAACUGAAAAAGUAUAGAAAGGCAAUAGGCUACUCACUAUAUGAUAUUAAAGGGUUAUCACCUUCUUUAUGCAUGCAUAGGAUACAUCUAGAGGAUGAAUCUAUGACUUCUAUAGAACAUCAAAGAAGGUUGAACCCCAACUUGAAAGAUGUUGUUAAGAAAGAGAUUCUAAAACUCCUAGAUGCUGGAGUAAUCAAUCCUAUUUCGGAUAGCAAAUUGGUAUCUCCUGUGCAUGUUGUCCCAAAGAAGGGUGGAAUAACUGUGGUUAAAAAUGAUAAGAAUGAACUAAUUCCAACAAGAACAAUAACAGGACAUAGGAUGUGCAUAGAUUAUAGAAAAUUAAACUCAACAUCUAGAAAGGAUCAUUUUCCAUUGCCAUUCAUUGAUCAAAUGCUUGAGAGACUUGCAAAUCAUCCCUAUUAUUGUUUUCUUUAUGGGUAUUCAGGGUUCUUCCACUUGAAAGAUGUUGUUAAGAAAGAGAUUCUAAAACUCCUAGAUGCUGGAGUAAUCUAUCCUAUUUCGGAUAGCAAAUUGGUAUCUCCUGUGCAUGUUGUCCCAAAGAAGGGUGGAAUAACUGUGGUUAAAAAUGAUAAGAAUGAACUAAUUCCAACAAGAACAAUAACAGGACAUAGGAUGUGCAUAGAUUAUAGAAAAUUAAACUCAACAUCUAGAAAGGAUCAUUUUCCAUUGCCAUUCAUUGAUCAAAUGCUUGAGAGACUUGCAAAUCAUCCCUAUUAUUGUUUUCUUUAUGGGUAUUCAGGGUUCUUCCAAAAUACCCAUACAUCCAAAUGAUCAAGAGAAAACAACAUUCACAUGCCCUUAUGGUACCUUUGCUUAUCGAAAGAUGCCAUUUGGGCUAUGUAAUGCUCCAACCACCUUCCAAAGGUGCAUGAUGUCUAUUUUCUCUGAUCUUAUAGAAGAUGUUGUGGAGGUGUUCAUGGAUGACUUCUCUGUCUACGGAUCUUCGUUUUCUGCUUGUUUGUCCAAUCUUAGCAGGGUCCUAAAGCGAUGUGAAGACACCAAUCUUGUGCUGAACUGGGAAAAGUGUCACUUCAUGGUUAAAGAAGGGAUUGUGCUUGGACACAAGAUUUCAGAGAAAGGGAUUGAGGUGGACAAGGCUAAGAUUGAAGUGAUGGUUGGGGCUCCACCAAAGACAGUGAAAGGCAUUAGAAACUUCCUUGGUCAUGCUGGGUUCUAUAGAAGAUUCAUCAAAGACUUCUCCGUAAUAGCUAGGCCAAUGACUAAGUUUCUAUGCAAGGAAGAUGCAUUCAACUUUAAUUGGGAAUGUGAAGCAUUCAAGAAGUUGAAAGACAAGCUGGUUAGUGCCCCCAUUGUGCAGCCACCAGAUUGGGAUCUCCCCUUUGAGAUCAUGUGUGAUGCUAGUGACUAUGUUGUGGGAGCUGUUCUUGGCCAAAAGAAGGACAAGAAGACUCAUGUGAUCUACUAUGCGAGUAAAACUCUUGAUGAAGCCCAAAUGAAGUAUGCUACAACUGAGAAGGAGCUGCUAGCCAUUGUCUAUGCCUUUGAGAAGUUCAGAAGCUAUUUGGUUGGGUCAAAAGUCAUAGUCUACACUGAUCAUGCUGCAUUAAGACACCUCAUGGCCAAGAAGGAUGCUAAGCCAAGGCUGUUGAGGUGGAUCUUGUUGUUACAAGAAUUUGACCUUGAGAUCAAAGACAAGCCAGGAGUUGAGAAUGGUGUAGCUGAUCACUUGUCUAGACUGAAGAUUGAGUGUGGGAUCCCCAUUGAUGAAGGGCUUCCAGAAGAACAAAUCAUGGCAAUUAGAGCAGUGGUAUCAGUUUGUGACACUGGAAAGAAGCUUGAAGAGGUAAAGGCAAAUGAAGAGAAAGGUCUUUGGUAUGCUGAUUUGGUGAACUACUUAGCUUGUGGAAGAGAGCCAAUGGGUCUUGAAGGAUAUGCCAAGAAGAAGUUCUACAAAGAUGUGAAGAGAUACUAUUGGGAUGAGCCUUACCUCUACGUCAUUUGUAGAGAUCAACUCUAUAGAAGAGUAGUAGCUGAAGAAGAAGUUGAAGGGAUCCUUACACACUGUCAUGGAUCAUCCUAUGGAGGCCAUUUCGCUACUUUCAAGACUGUUUUGAAGGUGUUACAAGCUGGGUUUUGGUGGCCUCAUAUGUUCAAGGACACUCAAGACUUUGUUGCUAAGUGUGAUUCAUGCCAAAGGAGAGGGAACAUCACCAAAAGGAAUGAGAUGCCUCAAAACCCAAUUCUAGAAGUGGAGGUAUUUGAUGUAUGGGGUAUAGAUUUCAUGGGAUCAUUCCCAUCAUCUUUUGGCAAUAAAUACAUCCUCGUAGCUGUUGACUAUGUCUCCAAGUGGGUGGAAGCUGUAGCAAGUCCCACCAAUGAUUCUAGAGUGGUGAUCAAGAUGUUCAAGAGCUCCAUCUUUCCAAGAUUUGGAGUCCCAAGAGUUGUGAUCAGUGAUGGAGGAUCUCAUUUCAUCAACAAGCUGUUAGAGAAUCUUCUCAAGAAGAAUGGUGUGAAGCAUAAGUUUGCAACCCCUUACCAUCUGGAAACAAGUGGUCAAGUUGAGAUCUCUAACAGAGAAAUCAAGUCUAUUUUGGACAAAACUGUGGGAACUACUAGAAAGGAUUGGUCUAUCAAGUUAGAUAAUGCACUUUGGGCUUAUAGGACUGCUUACAAGACUCCUUUGGGAACCACACCUUUCAACCUUGUGUAUGGAAAGGCUUGUCAUCUACCAGUUGAGCUUGAGUACAAGGCAUUGUGGACUGUUAAGUUGCUAAAUUUCAACAUCAAGAGUGCCAAAGAGAAGAGAUUUCUCCAACUCAAUGAGCUUGAUGAGAUUAGACUGGAUGCUUUUGAGAACUCAAAGAUUUACAAAGAGAAAACCAAAGCUUUUCAUGACAAGAAGAUCUUGAAGAGAGAAUUCAGUGCUGGAGAUCAAGUGCUUCUCUACAACUCUAGACUGAAGUUGUUUCCCGGGAAGCUCAAGUCAAGAUGGUCUGGUCCUUUCAAGAUAAAGGAAGUUAGGCCAUAUGGGGCAAUUGUGCUAUGGGACAAGAAUGGUGGAGACUUUACAGUCAAUGGACAAAGAGUUAAGCUUUACAUGGGAACCACAAUGGAGGAGAAAGGAAUCUCGGUUUCACUCUCCGACCCCAUCACCGCCUAGCCAAAGGAAAACAAAGUCAAGCUAGAGACUUAAAACAAGCUCACUUGGGAGGAAGUCCCAUGUCUAUCCUUGUACAUAAAAAAAAUGGUAUGGAGUAACUCACGCGGGAUAGGUUACCCGCGUGACGCGAGCUGGAGAGAUCUCGAGAGGAGCCAACGCGGGUUAAAUGACGCGGGUUCCUCUACCCGCUCGCACGACAGUCGCAUUCGGAGAUAUUAUGACGCGGGGUGAAGCAUGCGGGGUCGCACGAGUUUCUACUACCCGCGUCGACGCGUCAAAACCCCCUCAGGUAUGAUUUCUACCCUUAAACCCGGUGACCCGACCCGACAACCCGACAAACCGGCCCGGUUCAACCCUAAAACACCCCCUACCUGCGUCUCUCUCUCCCUUUUCCUCUAUCUCUCUUUCACAAAACAUCCAAACCUCCCACACCAAAUCACCCCAUAUCUCACUCAAUUCUCCACCAAAUCACUCCAUUCUUUUUCCUGAAUCCAAGCUUUCGCCCCUGUAGUCUGUUUUCUUGUUUCAACUUGUCAUUUCCUUUCAUCCAAAGCAAGGUAUUGUAUCACAAAGAUCAAUUUCGUUGGCCUCAUGAACCCUAGAAAUUUGAACUUGAAAUUUGAUCUUUCUCUUGCUUGAUUCUUGUGAAAUAGACUAGGGAAAGCUUAUAUAUCAUGUUGGGUUGUUGAUUCUAUGGUGAAUUUGAGUUGAAUUUGAACUUUGAAAAUUAGGGUUCAUGAGAUUUGGGGAUUUUUCGAAACUACUAUAAUUCCACAUGACUUUGGCUUGGUUUGGUUAGUUAGGGUGUUUGAGAAUUUAAUUAGAGAACUUUCUAAUUAAAGAACUCAUUUGAUGCUUAAAUUUUGCUUAAAAGCCUUAUUCUUUGCUUACAUCCAUCUCUUGUGGCCUUAUAUCAAUAAAUUGUGUGCAAUGGGAUAGUUUUGCUUAAGCUAAGUGAUCAUGAAUUGAAUUCACAUUUGCAUUAUCAAGUUUCCUACUUCCAUUUGCUUAUCUUUUUCCAAGGUUUGAUAUUGUCAGGUACAAAUGGGGAGAAAGGAUCAACACAAGAUAGAAACCGAGAAACAAGAACAUGCCAAGCAAGAGACUGCUAGACAUGGGAAGCCUUUAACCUCCGAAUCUACAACAGGAGGAAAUUCUAGGCAACAAGCCCUGGCGGUAAAGAAGAGAGGUGGCAAGCGGGUUAUAAUUUCCGAGGGAGUGGAUGCUAGCGGUAGAAGGUCAGCCCCUCCCAAAAGAUCUAAGGAACCAAAAGGCAAGGGGGUAGCUCUUCCUCAAGUGGAGGAAAAUGAAGACAUCACUGAAGAAGACCAAGCUCCCCUCAAGAAAGCCAACGUGUUUAAAGGGAAGAAGGUUGAUACUGAGAGGGAUAGAACCAAGACACCAACUGAAGAUGAGCUAUAUGGGCAUUUGAAGAAUGGUGUGUUGUGGCCUCAAACUCGAUUUGCGGAUAUCAAGAUUAUGGAAGAGUGAUAUCUUGCAUAUUUACAUUGUUUUAAUUAUCAUUUCUUGUGCACAUUGGUCUUUUGGAAUAGCAUUUACACAUGUUUAGGUUGCAUUUCCAUGCAUUAGUCCUUAUCAGGUGUUGGAGGGAGUUUCAUGAUGAACUAUGUGCCCCAAGGAGUGUUUUGAUGCCCAAAGAAUGUAGAUGAGUCGUUGAAGGAUCCUAGCGGCCAGGCGUAGCGGCAAAGGCUGGUCGCUACAGAAGAUAAGUACCGUAGCGGGCAUGUGUAGCGGGAUGUAGAGGCCGCUAGAUUUGAAGCGCCUUCUACAGCGGCCACCCAUAGCGACUUUACGAGGUCGCUAUGCGUUCAAGACUUCUAAAAUUUCCCAAGUAUCCUAGCGGCCACACGUAGCGGGCAUGACAAGUCGCUACAGAGCGUAGUGACCUCUGGUAGCGACCUUUUCUGGUCACUACGGAGAAAAAUAUCUAUGUUUUUGUGGGUUAACCAAGGUUUGUUGGGUUAACCCAGCUCGUUUUUAGACAUCUAUAAACACCUUUAAGACCUAAUCUGAGGAGAAUCUCAUUUUUUCUCUCAAGAACAUUGCCUCCUUUGUAAAAAGCUUGAAUCUUUAUAUCAUAAUCUAAGGAAGUUCUUCAUAUUAUAUCUUGUUUCUCCUUCUCAUAAACAUGAUGAGCCUUGAAUCCAUCAUGGGUUUGAGGUUUCUCAUGGAGAUUAGAGAGUAGACACUCCUUGGAUUCAUGGGUUAAGGUAGAUUAGGGUGCUUAAGUGUAGAUUUAGGGUGUUUUAUUGUAGAUCCUUCUUAUUUCUUGCUUGUUGAGUGAUCUUAAUGCUAUUUUAGAGUUGGCCUCUCUAAAAUUGAGCUCUAGACAUUUCAUACCCGAAAGGUGUUUGAUGAAAUGUCUGAACCAACUCUCCUAAGCUUUUAACAUUCUUUACCAAAGAGAUUUGUUGUUAAAGGUGUUAAAAUGGCUAAUAGACUUGAUUUUAAUGAUUGCUUAGAUAAUAUUCAACCAAAGAGAUUUGAUGCUUGAGUUAUCUUAGUGAAUGAACAUCCAUCUAGAGAUAGAGUUUGUUUAGGAUUGUGUCUAAGCCUAAGGUUGAUAGAUUGAUUGAAAGUUGCCACCUUUAGAUUGAACCUUGAUCAUCUUAUAUCAGUUAUCCUUACCAUGGAUCCAUCCUUAGUAUUUGAUUGAAUUCUUGCACUUAUUUCUUGAUUGGAUUUGAGAUCACCUUGUUUAUAUUUCUAGGAUAUUAGUUUGUUACAAAUCAUCUAUCUUCUUGUUUGCUUAGAUUAGGAAGGUUUGUGUAUUCUUGGUGUUAUAAGUCUCUAGUUCUCUGUGGAUUCGAUCCUAAAAUGCUACAAUGACAUACCAUUCGAUUGUGGUAUUGUUGGCACAUUAGGUUAAUUGGUGUGUGCUUAAACGCGUAAUCAAUUUGGCGCCGUUGCCGGGGAACUAAGUAGAUUUGUCAUUAGGAUUUCAAACUUUCUUGAGAUUAAGCUUUAUUUUCUUAUGCUUUGUUUUGCUUUUGUAUAGCUACUAACCUCUUCUUCUAGCUUUUGUUAUUUGUAGAGAUGGCUUCAAGCUACUCUGAGAAGCCACAAGAAGAGGAAGAGACAUUUGAAGAUCGCAUUGAAGAUCAGCCAUAUGUGAAGCCACCACCCUUUGAUAUACGCAUACUCACACCAGAUCAGAGAGUGGAGUUACACCGGCUUCAGAGAACGAAAGAGUAUUGGGGCAAGCCAAUAAGACACCUAGCACAAAUGGUCCGGAUACACCUUAUUAGGGAUAGAGCAGAGUUUGAAAGAAGAGAUGUUACUCAGUAUGAGUUUGAUGCUGCUUGUGCCCUUGAUGAGAUAAUGUAUUGGGUUCCACCACCCCAGCUGGCAGGUACAAGCAUUUCUACUUUAGAACUUAAACUUGAGGAAAUUUGCUUGCCUUGUGGUGAGGAUAGCGCCCCUGAUCUUGAUUCUCUUGUGCUCAUAAAUGAAUGUCUUGAUCUGAUAUGUGAAACUAGGAAACUAGAUGAAUUGAGAGUAGAAAAACUUGCUAAAGAUCACAUUGAAGUUUGCUUUGUCAAGAACUAUAUUUGUGCUUCAUUUGAUCUUGAGUCCAACUUUUUGCUGCUUGAGAAUUCUAGACCUCUUCUUGAACUUGCUGAUUUAGGGGAUGAACUUGAUGUGGAUAAGCUCUUGCUUGAGAUAGAAAACCCCCAUGCUGAAAACUAUCAUGAGAAUGUGAACAUUGUGUAUUAUUUGAUUGAUGGAGAUAGAGUUGACUACUUUGUUAAAACCUUGUUUGAACCUGUAGUUGAUUUUGUGUUUCCACCUAAUGCUUUUGAUUCUCAUGAUCAUCUGAACCUCAAGGAGCAUUUCAUAACUCAUGUCAUAUCUUUAGUGAAGCUCUUUGAGGAAAAAUCUGUCUAUUUUCUAUGGACAGUAGUGUGUUUCUUUGCACACUUGGUUUCUUGUUCUUGUAGGAGAAAGACCAAAGGUGCAUUGGCUCAGCCUUUUGAUACUUAUGAUUAGCAAGCACACAAAGUCAAGCUAGAGACUUAAAACAAGCUCACUUGGGAGGAAGUCCCAUGGUAUCCUUUGUAUAUAUUUUUUUAUAUAUCUUUUUCUUGCUUUAGUGUGUUUGAAUAAGCUUAGGGACAAGUUUGGGGGAAUUCUCAAAAAUUCCCAAAGAUCAUGUCGAAAAUUCCAAGGCGACAACAAGUCCUCCCUCCUCAUUUCCCUUCUAUCAUGACAGCCAACUUCAAGUAAGUGCAUUCCACCCUUGUAAAUACUUAGCUCUUUCAUCUUUUAUUUCUCCUUUGAUCUCUCUUUCGAGUUUACUCUCACACAAGAGACUGUGUGAAGUAAGUUUGGGGGAGAGUCUACUAUCUCAUAUUGUGUUUUCUUUUGUCUACUUGUCAUUGAGUCUCAUGCAUUCCAUUGUGCAUACCUAUCAAAAAAAAAAUGAAAAAUUUAGUUGCAUCAUUUGCAUCUGUAGGAUUGAGUCUAGAAGCAUUUAGAUUGCAUUCAUGCAUAGGAAGAAACCUUGUAAAGAACACAUGUCUAGAACUCGAUUCGACAUCCUAGCUAAAUAUAUCAAGUAGCUUAAGCAUCUUUUGAAAAAAGCUUGUAAGCUUCGAGCCUUGAAAACUCUUCUUGACACAUGUUGCUUGCUUGAUGAUUGACAUUGUUUUUGAAACCAACUCCAAAUGAACUAAGGCUUAAUGAACUUAAUCUCUCUUGCAUAUGGGCAUUUGCAUACUUGAUCAUGGAUAUUAUACACAUUUGGGUUAUCUUUCUCUCCUUGUACCAAUCUUUGUUAACCCAAAUGGCACUCUCAUACCCAUUAACCCUCACCAUUCUUUGAAGCCAACAUUAAUUUGCUUGAGUGAGGUCUUUUAUUGAUAGCAUGUCAUGUGCAAAAUCUUUAGAGUAUUAGGAGCGACAAUGGGGUUGUUCUAAUCUUUGGCUAGCAUUGGGACUUCAUUUGAGCUAGCCUCUAGGAUUGUUUUUGGGUUUGUAAGCUUAAAUUCUUUUGAUCUUGGGAAUGAGAGAGAUUGAGCGAAAGAGAUGAACCAAAAAGAGUGUUUAAAGUAAGAAACCCCUAGGGACAAAGAAAGUUAGAAAGGAAAAGCUCUAAAGUAUCAAUAGAACCCCCUCCCAAAUAUUAAAAAAAAAGGGAAUCAAAGAAACAAUAGUUGAGUGGGGGAAAAGAAAAGAAGAGAGCUAAGUCUAAAAGUUUAAAUAUAAAAGAACAAGUCUCUAGUUAGUUAAAUCAAAGGAAAGAAAGAAAGGAAUGGUAGAACUUAAAGCUACUUAAGAAAAUGGUAGAAUGAUGAGAACAAGCAUUGUAUGCAUGAAUUGCUCCUUUUCUUAGAUAAAUUUUGCAUAAUGAUCUUGCUCAUAUUCUUGAGUGUGAGCCACUAUAAAUGAUGCAAUUGAAACCCACUUUUCUUCACACUAGACCACUCUUUCUCACCAAACCAAAUGAUCGAGAUCAAAUAUCCAUUUGCAAGAAUUCAACUUGUGUGUGUGUGUGUGAAUGAAUGUGAGAGUUGGCUAAGGAACUUGUUGGUUGGAUGACAAUGAGCCUUGUGUAGAGAUAAAAGAGUCUUAAUAGGCCUUGAGAAACUAGAGUGCACUAGAGAGUUGCUCAUGCUAUUUGCUAUGUUUCUUUUAGGAUGUUAGGUUGAAGGCUAGAAAGUGUCUCUUUUGGUUAUGUGUUUCCAUUUUCAAUUCCCUCCUCUUUAAUUGAUCUUGAAUGUUUACUUGAGGACAAGUAAAGAACAAGUUUGGGGGAGUUGAUAUCUUGCAUUAUUACAUUGUUUUAAUUAUCAUUUCUUGUGCACAUUGGUCUUUUGGAAUAGCAUUUACACAUGUUUAGGUUGCAUUUCCAUGCAUUAGUCCUUAUCAGGUGUUGGAGGGAGUUUCAUGAUGAACUCUGUGCCCCAAGGAGUGUUUUGAUGCCCAAAGAAUGUAGAUGAGUCGUUGAAGGAUCCUAGCGGCCAGGCGUGGCGGCAAAGGCUGGUCGCUACAGAAGAUAAGUACCGUAGCGGGCAUGUGUAGCGGGAUGUAGAGGCCGCUAGAUUUGAAGCGCCUUCUACAGCGGCCACCCAUAGCGACUUUACGAGGUCGCUAUGCGUUCAAGACUUCUAAAAUUUCCCAAGUAUCCUAGCGGCCACACGUAGCGGGCAUGACAAGUCGCUACAGAGCGUAGUGACCUCUGGUAGCGACCUUUUCUGGUCACUACGGAGAAAAAUAUCUAUGUUUUUGUGGGUUAACCAAGGUUUGUUGGGUUAACCCAGCUCGUUUUUAGACAUCUAUAAACACCUUUAAGACCUAAUUUGAGGAGAAUCUCAUUUUUUUUCUCAAGAACAUUGCCUCCUUUGUAAAAAGCUUGAAUCUUUAUAUCAUAAUCUAAGGAAGUUCUUCAUAUUAUAUCUUGUUUCUCCUUCUCAUAAACAUGAUGAGCCUUGAAUCCAUCAUGGGUUUGAGGUUUCUCAUGGAGAUUAGAGAGUAGACACUCCUUGGAUUCAUGGGUUAAGGUAGAUUAGGGUGCUUAAGUGUAGAUUUAGGGUGUUUUAUUGUAGAUCCUUCUUAUUUCUUGCUUGUUGAGUGAUCUUAAUGCUAUUUUAGAGUUGGCCUCUCUAAAAUUGAGCUCUAGACAUUUCAUACCCGAAAGGUGUUUGAUGAAAUGUCUGAACCAACUCUCCUAAGCUUUUAACAUUCUUUACCAAAGAGAUUUGUUGUUAAAGGUGUUAAAAUGGCUAAUAGACUUGAUUUUAAUGAUUGCUUAGAUAAUAUUCAACCAAAGAGAUUUGAUGCUUGAGUUAUCUUAGUGAAUGAACAUCCAUCUAGAGAUAGAGUUUGUUUAGGAUUGUGUCUAAGCCUAAGGUUGAUAGAUUGAUUGAAUGUUGCCACCUUUAGAUUGAACCUUGAUCAUUUUAUAUCAGUUAUCCUUACCAUGGAUCCAUCCUUAGUAUUUGAUUGAAUUCUUGCACUUAUUUCUUGAUUGGAUUUGAGAUCACCUUGUUUAUAUUUCUAGGAUAUUAGUUUGUUACAAAUCAUCUAUCUUCUUGUUUGCUUAGAUUAGGAAGGUUUGUUUAUUCUUGGUGUUAUAGAUCAUUAGUUCCCUGUGGAUUCGAUCCUAAAAUGCUACAAUGACAUACCAUUCGAUUGUGGUAUUGUUGGCACAUUAGGUUAAUUGGUGUGUGCUUAAACGCGUAAUCAAAGAGUUGGAGAUAGGUGACGACAUUAAGCAAAUGUUGGAGCACAUGAAAAUGCAAAGCUUCUUCACUAUGGCCUACCCUACCUAUAAAGAUGAGUCAUGUCAGUUCUUGGCAUCAUUAGAAGCCACCUUUCACACCACCAAACAUGUGAGGUAAGGAUGGGGAAAGAUCAAAUUCAAGAUCCAUGGGAAGGUUUACUACAUGACCUUCAAGGAGAUUGGACAAGCACUUGGUCUUAAGGAUUUGAAGGAAUCAUCCAUCCCCAUACCUUAUGAUGCAACUAAGGAGGAGAACAUUGCCAAAAUGGUUUUGAAGGUGUUGGCGGGGAAGAGUCGCAAGACAAGCCGCGACAAGAACGCCUCCAUUCGCCAUCCUUCUGUGCGCUAUCUCCACCGGUUGAUUGUCCACACCAUUUUCCCAAGGAAAGAACCAGGCACUGUUAAUGAUGAGGAGCUACAACUUCUUCACCAAACCGUCCAACAUUAUGCUCACCCAUCUCAGUUGCCUCUUGUCAGCACUGAUUUCUACAAGAAUUUUGGAAUGGUGGGAUUCUUUGUGAAGCGCCUCAUCCACUACAAAGAGUGGGCUUGGACAAUGAGUGACUUGGAACCUCAGAUUGGAAUUGGUGGCUUGAUAACUCCAUUGAUUAAGUUCAAGGAUAUACCCUUGGAAGAUGAUCCAACUGGUCCAUUUCAUGGAUGGAAGCUACUUGAAGAAAGCUCAGUACUUCAGUGGAAGGUUCGAGGGAACUUGUGUCUACUCUUACCUACAGUCUACAAAGGAGGUUGAAGUGCUUCUCCCAAAUUGGGACCUCACGAGCUUGACACGACCAGGAGCUAUUAGCUUUGAUAUUGGGGAAGAACACCUCCUUGGACCCCAUGGUCCUCUAGGCCCCAUAAGAUAUCCCAAGAAGAAGAAGAAUGCAGAUAGAUGUGGUGUGUUUCAAGAGGACACUUCUGGUUUAAACUCUGAGCUCCUCUAUGGUCCUCCUCAUUACCACUUUGAGCAACGUCCCGGAGCCUUACCCAAUGGUCCCCUUCGCUAAGCUCAUGAGCAUAUUGGCAACCUCCAAAGGUGGAACAAAGCUCAGGACAGAACUAUCUUCAAACUCAAGGAUAAAUAUAAGGAGUUUAGUAAGACUGUGAAGAGGCAAGCAAAAGCUUCAGCUCAGUUCAUGAAGAAGGUGGCUGAUAUACUGACUAGAGGAGCUGUGGCAGGAUGCUCAUCAUCAUACUUUGACUUCCUUACCCCCCAGCCGCAGCCCCCAAUAGAUCCUUUGGCACUCAGUUUCCCCGCCACCAAGAAACAGCUGCUCCGCCGGAAGAGAAACCCACCAGCUCAACCAUCCGAUUCAGGAAACAAAUCUCCAUCCCUUGCCUCGACAGAUAAGGAAGCUGACACCGAGGAUGAGGCAUCGGCCUCUUCCCACGCUCCCUAUUGAGGUACUCCUCCACCUUUCCAUUGUAUAUACCAGUUUUUCUUUGCAUUUAUCUCUCUUUUCGGUAUCUCCUUCAACUUCCUAACACAGAGACUGUGUGAACUAAGUUUGGGGGAGAUACCAAGUAUUUGAUCAUGUUUCUUUUGAUGAUUUGAGUCUCACGCAUUGCAUUGUACAUACAUAUAUGCAUAGAAAAACCAAAAAAAAAAAUUAAAAAAUUUGAAAAACACAAAAAGAAACAUGUAGUUGCAUCACUUGCACUUUUAGGAUUGAGUCUAGAGCAUAUAGGUUGCAUUCACUUGCACUGGGAACAAUGAUUUAAAAUGCCUUGUAAAGUAACUCUUGUCUAGAACUCAAAGUGACACUCUAGUUAAACAUAUCAAGUAGCUUAAGCAUCUCUUGAAAGCCUUGCACGUUUCGAGCCUUGAAAACUCUUCUUGAAACUUGUUUGCUUGCUUGAUAUUGGCAUUGUUAUUAAGAUCAGCUCCAAUCUGAACUUGGCUUGAAUGAACUUAAUCUCUCUUGCAUAUGGGCAUUUGCACACUUGAUCAUGGAUCUCAUACACAUUUGGAUUAUCUUAUUCCUUUAUACCAAUCUUUGUUAACCCAAAUGGCACUCCACACCCUACAACCCUAACCAUUCUUUGAGACCAAACAGUGAAUUGCAUGAGUGAGGCCUCUUUUGAUAGUUUGUCAUGUGCAAAAUCUUGAGAGUAUUGGAUGCGACAUAGAUUGGUUCUCAUCCCUUGCUAGCAAAAUGAGCUAGCAUUUGGGAAUGGUGAGAGGGGUUUGUGUGUUCUAAAUUUCAAUAUCUUGGGUUUUGGGAGUGAGAAAUAUAAGAAAGAUGAACGAAAGAGUAUCAAUAGAAAAGAAAACUCUAGGGACAAAAGGAAAGUAUGAAGCUCUAGAUUAUGUACAAAAGAACCUUCCCCUUUAUAAAAAAAAAAAAAAAAAAAAAAAAAAUGCUUUAAUUUAUUUAUGAUGGAGAGGGAAGAUUCGAGAUGCAUGCUGCUGGAAAAGGGUGAGCAAGAAGUGGGUGCAGAUUUUGGAGGAAUGAAAAGAAGUCAAGAGCUGGAGAACAGUGGCACGAUUGAUCAAACAAAUUAAAAAAAAAAAAAAAAAAAAAAGAGAAAAGAACCAAAGAGAAGGUGGGGAAGGAAAUGAUAAAGAGCUAGAGCAUGUAAAAAGUGAAUUAAAAUCCCUAGUUGGUUGAGUCAAAAGAAAAAAAGAGAGUUGUUCAUUGGGUGAGUGAUGUGAGUGGGUGUUAUUUUGGUUUUGAGAUUAUGAUAAAAGGGUAGAACUUGUGAUCACUAAAAAAAAAAGGGGGUAGAAUGAUGAGAAUGAAUCUAUGUAUGCAUGAGUUGCUUCUAGUCUUAGAUAAAUUUUGCAUAAUGAUCAAGCUCCUUGUUUUUGAGUGAUAACCACCUUGAAAUGAUAACAUUUGAACCCUUCUCUUCAUUCAUAUUAGACCAUUGCUUACCUAGCCAAAUGAUUGAGAUCAUGUGCCCAUUUGUGAGAAUUCACCUAGUGUGCGUGUGUGUGAAUCAAUGUGAGAGCUGGUUGAAGGGACUUGUUAGUUGAUGAGUAUUGCGACUUGUGUAGAGGCAUAAGAGUAGGGAUAGGCCUAGAGAAGCUAGAGUAUAAUAAGAGAGUUUCUCAUGCUAUUUGCUAUAUUUCUUUAGGAUGUUAAGUUGAGUGCUAGGAAGUGGUACUUUUGGCUAUGAGUUCCCACCUUCAAACCUCUCUCAUAUAUGAGUUCUUGCAAGUUCAUUUGAGGACAAGUAAAGAACAAGUUUGGAGGAGUUGAUAUCUUGCAUAUUUGCAUUGUUUUAAGUCUCCAUUUUGCACAUAAUGAUCAUAUAGAUUAGGAAUUUAGCAUCUUUGGGAUCCAUAUUGCAUUCAUAUGUCUUUAUCAGGUAUUGGAGUGUCAUCAUCGACGAUCCAACGAGGCUUGGAUCACGCGGGAUGGCCUACCCGCAUGCACGAGAAUGGAGCUGCGCGACGUCUUGACGCGGUUUGAGCUCACGCGGGUUCCCUUACCCGCGUCACGAAGAGAAGGAACCGAUAGAGUCACGCGGGACAGAGCCACGUGGGAUCGCCUACCCGCGCGCAUGACGGAGAAACCUCGAUGACGAUCCGACGUGGGUUGGCUGACGCGGGUUGUGCCCGUCCAUUUCUACCCGAGUCGAAACUUAUCUUUAGUCGGAUUUUAAUGUUUUUAAGGGGCUUUUUAAACUUUUUAAUGGAAACCAUUAGGUUUACCAAAGACAUAUAAAUACUCUUGUAAUCCCAAAGUUGAGACUUAUCUUAUUUUCUAUCUAAUCAAAAAGGAACCUUUAGGUAAAAAACAUAAUCUUGAUUAUUCCUUUGGGAUUGCUUUGUUAAUUUGAUCACUAAUCAUGAUUAACACCAAAUCAUCAUUGAUUCUUGGGUUUAUCAUGAAGAUUAGUGAGUAGUCAUAUUUGAAUUCAUGGGUUAGGGAGACUAAGGGUGAUUAAGCUAGAUCUAAGGUGUUGUAGCACAGAUCCAUCGUGUUCCUUGCUAGUAAAGUGCUUUCAUCUAGAGAUAGAGUUUGUUUAGGAUUGUGUAUAGGUCUAAGGUUGAUAGAUUGAUUGAAAGAUACUACCUUUAGAUUGAAACUUGAUCACCCAAGGCCAAUUCCCUUAGCCCAUGAAUUCUCCCAUCUCAUAAGAAAUAAAAGUUUUGAUCUUUAUUGCAUUUUAGUAGUAUUCUAGUUCAAAAUCAUCUUGCCAAUUGAUAGCAUUUAGAUUAAGCAUGGUUUUGCAUUCUCUUUGCAUUAGAAUCACUUAGAACUGGUUUGACAUCCUUUAUACUAUAACAUUUGAUUAGGAGCCUUGAAAACUCCUAAUAUCAGUAGAACCCAAUAUAAUUUUAGGUUUUAGAUCUUAAUUGGUUUUUCAGUUCCAAAAUUUGUACACAAAAAUCAAAUAGAGAUCUAGUGAAACAAAAACCAAAAAUAAAAAUUUGAAAUGAAAAUUGUGAAAUGACCUUGGUACAAUUCUUUUGGUUCUACUGUAAUUUUAGACAAGAUCAAUUAGAUAGUAAAGACAUUGAAAUAGAGAACAAAUCUCAAAAACUAUGUUUAAACACAUUAUAUUCGACAAACCCUAAGAACAAACACAUCUAACCCGGUAAACGCAACUAUACAGAAGAAAGAAGAGCACCAAAUACCAAAAUAUAUUAACUAAAUAUUUGAGUUCAUUAUUCAUGGAAUAGCUACUUAUUUUAGGUACUCAAUUAAAUCUCGAAUAUUUUGGGUACUUAUUCGGGAUUAAGUUUGGAUUUAGUAAGAGUAUUUUUCUGGAAUUUUAAUUUUUAGAUUUUUUUCGAAUAUCCAUUUGGGUUCGGAUGGAUUCGGUUUGGAUAAAACUCAUAAUCUGAAAUAUCAUAAAACAAGUCCUACUCAGUAUUUAUGUCGGAUUUAGUUUGGUUUGAAUUCAUUUCAGUUGGACGGAAUAUGGAUCUGAUUUUUUAAUUGGAAUUAUUUGCCCAUCCCUAGACAAGAUAUUGAAAGAUAAGGGUUGAUGCCAUGAACAUGCCUCAUCCAAUAUCGUAUUUUUGUAUGCUGUGGAUUGUUGCCUAAAAGACCGAAUCGAAAUUAGGGUUGAUGCCAUGAUCAGAUCUUUUUGAAAAUCAGAUUUAUGUAACUAGUAGCAAAGUUUCAUCGGAGAUCUAUUUUAUUAAUUAAUUUGUUUUAGUUCAAUCUAAAUUUCAUUUAAAUUUUAAUUUCUUAAGGGUAGUUAAUUUCUUGGUCAAUUAUAUUUUUGAGAGAAUUGACAAAUGAAACACAUUCAACUUUAGUUUGUUCCACUAUAACUUUGUUAAUACGAUAUUAUCCUUUGGUUAGUCAAUUUAACCUUAAUUAAAGAAAAAAAGAACACUAAAUUAAAAAAAAAAGGAUUAUUGGUUUUUAGGCCCAAAAAUACAUACAUUGUCCUGUAGGGAUAAUCCCAACUUAUAAUUGUCCCAUUAGGAUAAUGAUAUACAAAAACCCAAUAGUUUCCUUCAGAAAUACAAUUAACAAAUUAAUUAUGAUAAUAUUGAAAUAUAUAUAAUAUAAAUAAACUAAUUAAAAUAAAAUAAAAAAGUUAAAAACAUAAGAAAUACCCUAAUCAAAUAUUCUAACCCUACUUUUUAUUUUCUUGCUAUCUCAGCCUCUCACUCUCUCCGUAAGGCGACAAAGAAAACAUCUCUCUCUAGGUGGGGUGACGACGACACCGACUGAAAUAGACUCUAAUCGAACGUGAAUCUCUUCUUCUCCAACUAUACUCCGGCGUGAAUCUCUUCAUAUCCAGCCUAAUCUCUUAUUCUCCUGUCUAACCCGAAGGUAACGCCAAGUUUUCUCCUUCGUAUUUCGUUUUCAUGCCUGAUGAUAUCACUCAAAUUACCCUAGAGCGAUUUUCACUCUCUCAAAUAAGAGAUUCAGUUUCAGUACUUAGGGAUCGAAUCUACAAGGAGCGAUGGUACACAAUAAAUCUAAGCAGCCAAUGAUUAAGGUAUGCAGUAAAUUAUAAAGCAGUAAAUAACUCAGAACUAAGCAGAUUGAUUGGCUGGUUGGCUUGUAAAUAAUAAGAGAAAAUAGCCAGAUCUAGGGUUCAUGUAAUCAUGAUUAUAAUGAUAUAUAAUGCUUAAGGUAUGCAGAUGACAAUCCUAGAACUCGAUGUGUAAUGCAUAAGAUGUCCAGCUUUUCCUGCGAAUCAAAGAUGUUGACUAAGUCCAAUAUCUCAGCUGUGACUUGGUGAUAUGGAUCGAGCAUCGAUCAAUGUUAUUCAGUUAGCGUCAAUCGAUGCUACCUUAGACAAGCGCUAGCGAGCUGGUCGAUUUGUUUACUAAUCUUAACUAAAUCAGCUAUCGCUUGUUUCUAGCAAUCCUAACUAAAGAGAAUCUAUUCUGGUGCAGAACCUACCGUCGUAGUUGUCCACAAUCCUAAAAUCAAGGUCCUAAUUAGCUACUCUAGAACACAUGCAUUAAUAGCAAUUCUUUGAAGGUUGUUUAAUUAUCACCUUAUAAAUUCUAUAGAUUUGGCUAAUCCUCCAUAACCCUAAUAAACCCUAAAUCUAACAAAGAGAACUACUCAGACACGAUCAAGCAAAACAUGAAAAUAAACUGAAUAAAUUGCAUGUGGAAGCACCGUAGUCUACUGGUUAAGGUUUAAAGGCUUCUACACCCAGAAAUGCGGUUCGAAUCCCAGACUAUGCAAUUUCUUGAAGAUUACAGGAAAUCCAAGUUUCAAGUACCGGAGAGAACGAUUUAUUAAUGCAGACUACAAAAGAAAUGCUUACAAGAGAUCUUCAACAUGGUGCAAGUAAAUCUGGUCAGGAGUGUAUCUUCAUAGGACGGCUCAGAUGAUGCAGUUAGGCAUAGAUCCUCAUAAGGCAUGUAGUAUUUUCGGUUUUUGAAUCGUUUAUGUAAUAUUUUUCAUAAAUUUAAUGCCAUAAUAAAUCAGCGUUAAAAAAAAACUGAAUAAAUUGCAUAAAUAGAAUAAGUUAGAAAAACUGUAGUUCUAAUACAAAGCUCUUAAGGAGUCUUGGAUCUUCUCUCCGAACUACUAAAAAUCCUAAAACCCUUACGCUGUGAAUGAAUGAAAAUAAGAAAGCGUGUGUUGCCCAAUACAAUGACAGAGCACAUAAAUAUUAGGUUAAAGUCGGUCAGGGUUAGUUUUGUAAAUAUGUGGAACUUGGGCUUCAAGUCGGUCAUGGACAAGUGGACUGCUUUCGCGCUUCGCUGUCGAUCGUCGACAAGUGAUGUUUGUCGAUCGGCGGUUGACUCUGAAUGUCGAUUUUGGUUUGUUCAAUGAACAGCUACAAUUUUCUUCUGUCUUUAUCUCCAAAAUGCUUCAUAAUUACCACAUUGCUCUAAAACGUACCUUAACAUGUAAAUACUCUAAAAAAAACUUCAAAACAUGAUAAAUAGAUUCUAAAACACUGAUAUACCAUGGCCAAAAACUAGUAAAAUCCAUGUUAUAUCACUUGAUAUCUCGUGUUUGAUAAUCUCGUCGUCGGUUCUUCUACGGCCUAGCUAUCGGUUUCAUGCGUUGAAAAAGAGUGUUUGAUAAUCUCCUUAUUCUUCGCAAUUUCGUUUACAUUCUUUGCAUUCUUCUUUGCAUGUUGUUGAAUAGUGGUUAAUCUCUGUUAAAAUCAAAUAAUUAGUGUUUAUUAUGUGUGUUUGUGUUCAUGUUUUCUUGUUACCAUUAGGGUUUGUGAAAAGAUUUUUUUUCUUGGGUUUGUGUUUUGUUUUUUGUUACUAUACGGUGUUGUGAAUCGAGAUACACACUGCUUGUAAGCGACUGAUUCUUCUUAGAAAAUUCUUUCCCACCUUCUUUGCAUGUUCCUCAACCACCAUUAGCCACUGUGAAACGCAUUUCGAGUAGGCUUUUGUGACUUGUCCUUUCUAAGAAUCAAUUGAGAACUGUCUCAUCUAUUGUUUCGCAUUGUUGUUAUUUUGAUGUUUAACUCGGUAUAAUUUUUGUCUUUUUAAUUGGUCUCAUUUUGAUGUUUAAAUCGGGUAUAAGUCGUGGAUUUUAAUUUGUAUGUCUCAUUUCGGGUUUGGUAUUUAUGAAAACAACUAUGUCAUUGUGGAUUGAUGUAAAUUGCUAUUGCAAUAGUACUCCGAAGUGUUAUAACGUAUUAAGAUCAGAAUUGUGUUUCUUAGCUUUGUUAUUUGUUUGUUUCAUUUCGGGUUUUUGUAGCGAUUGAUUCAUUUGGGUUUGGUGCUCUCUAUUGUUUACUGAGAUUGAUAGAGUAUUAAAAGACAUUAUUUUAUUGUAUAUGACAUUGGUUAUUGAUCUUUAUUGUGUUUUAUUGUGUGUUUAUUUUAGGUAUGAAGUUGGAGUUACCUAGACUGUAUAUGGAGAGGGUUUGGAACCUCAGGUUGAGAAGUUAAACAACAGCUGCCGCAUGACACUUCUCGAAAUUAUGAAGAAAGCAAUGAAGGAAGAAUACAAUCUCUUUCGAGUAUAAAUCCGAGUCGUCAGAGAAUCCAAUCUCGUGUUGAUUGUUUUCUCUGUUUAUCCAAUAUUCAGCUGAACAGGUAUCAGAGACAAAGGAUCAUAAUCAUGCCGCAAAAGAGAAUUACCUUCAACAGCUGCUACUAGUGGAGCAUAACGUGGUGUUAAAGGGAGUACUAGCCGAGUUUCAGAAUGAUUUGCGCAACAUGUUGACAAUCUUCUCCAAACACAGAAUCAUGCUCAAGGAUUGUCUUGUUGUGAAGAGCAGAUCUUUGAAGAUGAUAAGGGAAGUAAUGUCAUUGAUGACAGUCUGUUUGCAAGGAACUAUGACCGUUCAAUUUCAACACAUUUUUUCUGUAAGAUCAUGGCAUCAUAAAGGAAAUAUGGAGAAUUGUUUUGAUCAGGUCAAAGACUUCGCCGGCGAGCCCGUCUACGAUGUCUAUGAUGACGAAUUAUCUAUGGAGACAGUCUAUAAUGUUUAUCAUGGUGAAGUUAAAAUUCAUGAUGAGGAAGUUGAAUUUCCAAUUCAGAAAGGAGAAGACAUACAGUGUAGUCAGGAGUUGUGGGCAUCAAAAAAUUCGACAAGAAAGAUGAAGUUUCCGUCUUCUCAGGAUAUGUCGGAUCUGGAGAGUAUGGAUAAAAAAAAAUGGUGACUUUACGUAUCUUCCAAAGCUUCAUGCGAGUGUUAAUAGUGAACCACCAGAUCGCGGAAGAUGUGCGUAUAUUUUGCAUGACAGUGAGGAAGAUCCUGACAACAAGUUUUGUGGCGAUCUAGUAUUUGGUAUCAAUGACAAAAAGACGAUAUAUAUAUAGAUAAUAUAUCAGCCAAGAGCUUUGAAUAUUCCCGACAUAUACGUCUCGAGUUUGAGACAAAUCAGUUCGUCGAAAGUAAACCGCUGUUCGUUUCAGAGAUAAAUGAGCGUACGUGUGGUCAUUUACAAUGGCACUUGAUUCAGAUAUUAUGACCCUCAUAGGAAACAGUGCACAAGAUUAAUUUCCUUUGCCUUUUCCUAAUGAGGAACAAGAGACCAACGGUUUUGUUAGACGUGGUUUUACCCAUAUUCUUAGCUUGACGCGAGAUCCAAUCGCACUUACUGUUUAUCACGAGCAGCUCUCAUCUUUGGGGCAUAUAGAGAUGGUGAAAUCAGAUUCAAUCUAUGGAGAGAAAGGAACAAGAUUAAGCAUGGGGAGAAACCUUUGCCUAUGGCUGUAGUGAAGAAGCUUAUUGACAAAGGGGUUAGAAACAAUUGAGUGUAAUGAGAAUGAAAGGAGUGAAGGGCAUGGAAGAAGCUCUUCAAUAUUGGUUUAUCACAAGAGUAUAAUUUUUGAGGUUCAUUAGUAGUGAAGAAGUAUAAGGAAAUAGUGUUAUAUAUUACUAAGGUUUACACUUCGUUGUAAAAAGGCUUUUUUGAUAAAUAAAAUUUAAUAUUCAUUCAAAAAAAAAAUCAGUUUCAAUCAAUUUGGUGCUUCUAUGUUCUUGCUCUCCGGUCUGUCAUGAUUUGGGGAGCCAAAAACAUUUUGUGCUGGGUCAAAAAAAAUUAUUGGAGAUGAAUUUUCAUUUUUAGUAGGGUGAAUACAAUUUUUCGUAAAUAAAAAAGUAUUGUACAAUUUUUUUUAAGUAAAAACAAGUUUUUUAAAAAAAAAUUGUGGGGUCAGCUGACACUCCUUCUCAAUUGUCUGGCCCUUUUGACUGUAUGAGAAUAGUGGUGUCAAGGACGACUAGGACGUCAGUGUUCUUUCAUGCUUCUGUUUUCCUGCACAUAUCCUUGCAUUGGUUGCUGCACAUCACAAGGACAUUGAAGAGAGUUGCUGAUGUUUUCCAAUCCGCUCAACAAAAGAAAACCAUUUAAGGUGUUGGCAACAAGUUAUCAUUGGGCGAGCCUUCUUCAUCCAGCAGACAUGUGGGAAGCUUGGCAUUGGAUUUUUACCACCACCAUUAAUUGAUGAUGCAUAUCGUAGAGAGACUGAGUACACUAUGAAAAAUGAUUUUCACAACGUUCAACGUGAAAAUAUGAAAACACUGGCUGUGACGGAGAGGAUUCAUGAGCGACUUAGUUCCAGAGCAAGACAUGCUCUAUUUUUUUCUCGGCUUGGUGUGCAGAUGGUACUCGAUGUUUCCGGUGACGUAUACUGUUUUGGGGUCUUGUCGACAGUCCCAAUGUUACACCACCAUCAAGUCAUUGAUCUUUUCAUGCACCCAAAGUAUUCUUUGAACAUAGAGAAGUACAAGCUUGGCAUCAAGUGUGAAUUUCUCAGAAGAAGUGUUGUCACCCGUAUUGAGAGCGACUUAGUUCCAGAGCAAGACAUGCUCUAUUUUUUUCUCGGCUUGGUGUGCAGAUGGUAUUCGAUGUUUCCGGUGACGUAUACUGUUUUGGGGUCUUGUCGACAGUCCCAAUGUUACACCACCAUCAAGUCAUUGAUCUUUUCAUGCACCAAAAGUAUUCUUUGAACAUAGAGAAGUACAAGCUUGGCAUCAAGUGUGAAUUUCUCACAAGAAGUGUUGUCACCCAUAUUGAUAUUUCGAUGAAAAAUGUCAAAGUGAAACUUGGAGUAGUUCAUAGUACAUAGUUGGGUUAUUGCACAUCCACGAUAACUAUAUGGUGUACUGACGUUGCUUGCGAGUCAAGCAAGCUGGUGAUUUGUUUGGCUUUACACCAUGUAUUUCGCUUUGUGCAUGGAGAUGCUGUCCUUAGGCCACCCGAGUCGUCUUCUUUAUUGUUUUCUCCAGGAGAUGACAAGUUUGAGGAAUGUUGACUUCAUCUUGGACGUGGUGAUCAAAGUCCAUCUUGUCACUUGAGUCCAUCUAUCAAGGUACAUGAAAAACUCUAUGUUCGGUGAUGCAUGGGAGUGUCCUUAUUCUGAUGUGUCUCUUAUGGUAAUCCGUUAGUGGCCCUUUUCAAUUUGUUGCUUGAGAAAGUACGCAGUGCUAGUGCUAUUACUUUUUCACCACGCUUUGUGUCUUCAGUGGGUUAUCUCUUGAUCUUUGUCGUGCUUGAUAAGGGUGAGUCUUUGUUCUCAUGUUCUCUGUGGAUUCACAACCUUUUUUCUCCAACAUCUACAGUGAUGCACAUGGUAUGCUUUUCGACCACAUCAUUACAUGCUGGUUGCUACCAUGACGUUUCGGUGGACAAAAAGGGACACCAUUUUAGGGUCCAGGUAGUUUUCUCAAGGGUUGUGAGGGGUUCAUACGAGACCUUGCCGUAAAGAUGAGUGUAGUUCAGCUGGUGCAAGUCAACAAUAGCAUACAUUUGGUCUCUCAAAGUUCAGUGUCUAUUGACUCGUCAUGGUAAACGUGUGCUCGUUGUUAUCGCUGAAAGAAAUUUGCCUUUUGUGUGGCCAUGGUGUAAUACUUUGGCGCUAGUACACAUUGAUCGUGCAUUCACCUAUGUGCCUUCUACUGAUGACGAAAAGGAUGUUUUUUUUUUUUUUUUUUUUUUUCGCAAUGAAAAAUUCAUUAAACAGAUUAACCCGAAGAUAGAGCCAGGACCCCGCAGGUCGUUAUUGUCGGAGGUGCUUCGCGUUCCUUUGGUCAAUGACGAAAAGGAUGUUAUGGAAUCAAGUGUUGAAGUUUGUGUACACUUUCCCUCCGUUCAACAUGAGCGAAGCAUUUUCCGUGCAUUGGUGAUUGAUUUUAUGCAGACAAUGAGGUAUCAUGUCUCACUGCAUGUUCCAACAUGAUCUAUAAAUACAUUCUAUAACUUUCACAUCAGCAUUCUUGCGUUAUCAACAUUCCAGCUUCGAGGAAGAAGCUUUUUUUACCCCGGGAGACAUGAUGUAGCACACCCGGACUCAAGGAUUCAUUAACUGGAGUCUGGACAUGAUGUAGCAUAUCCAAAGCCCAAAGGCUACUAGGAAUUACGUUUGUGUUUUGAGGCUUUCCUUUUAUUUUUUGUGUUUCCUUUUAUUAGUGAUAAUCUUUAAAGUUAGUUUUCCUAAUCAAGUUUACAAUAGGAAUUAUCUAUUAGGGUUAUAUGAAGGGAACGUAUGUGUUCUCUUAGAACGGGGUUUUUGAUUAAUAAAGUUUGAGACUUUCUAAGACAACACACGGUGCAUCCAAAGUUCGCCCUAGAGAGAAACUCUCUCGAGCCCGCAUCCCAAGGCGCCGUUUCGAUGGAUCUUCCUUGCUCCAACCACGAUGCUCUUUCCUCUUCUCUCUGAAACAGCCAUGUUCCUCUCUAUGGACAUGAUGGUGACUAUUCCUCCGUCGUGGCUCCGCCCCCCUCCAGAUCCGCCGCCCCCGUCGUUCCUGAUGCAGCACUGCUCUUCCUCCUUGAAGAUGAUGGUGACAGCCCUUCCUCCUCUUUCACAGCCCAGGCCUCCUUCAGAUCCGGCGCGGAACAAGCAUCUUCCGAUUGAAACUCCUCCCGUCAAGCCACCAGAACCUCCAGACCCACCAGACGUCUCCGUCAGCCUCGUUCUUUUCACUUCCUCCAGCCCUUCUCCACAAGCUACUCAAGUCAUAGAUCUGAUGUUUAAUUUUUCAAGGGUUUCAAGUAAGCUCAGUGAUGAUGGUGUUGUUCUUGUCUUCAUUGGUGACACCAUCUUUGUCAACUGGCGUUCUUUUCCUGUGGUAUACAGGUUGUAUUUUUGUCAGUUCGGGAAUGGGUCUUCUCCCGGCUCUUAUUCCAACUUUCAUUUUAUCAAUCCGCUUAUAGACGUCCAGGUCCACCUUAGCUCCUUACUCUCUGUUUACUCCUAUUCUUUUGGAAAGGAUGCAAUGCUAGAUGUGUGGGUGACUUUGGAUUUGUGGUUUCUGGCUUUAUUUGGUAGUGUACUGAUGGACUCAGUGUCCUUUGGUUAUAUCUUUGUGCCUCUUAGUGGUUUUUAUGUUGCGUUGAUGCAACUCUCUACUGCAGUAUGCAGUCCUAUUAUUGUAUUCAACCUGGUUUGUGGUGCAGUGUCUGUGUGUUUCUCUUCUUGGUGGCAGUUGAAAGAGACAAUCAUUGUGAUUUGUUGCUUGGUGAAUAUGGUUAUGGCGGGUAUUGAUUGUCCGCUUGGCUCCUGUUUGGAGCAGUCUCUUUUCCCAAUAUUUCCUCAUGUAUGGAGUGAAUUGGAUGAACAUGUGUGGCUGGUAUUGCAAGGAUUCUCCUCCCGGCUAACGCUCUUCCCUGCCUUUAGUGCAGUGGUUGUGACUCUCAGAGUUACCCGAGAUGCAAUCGUUCAAGAAACUCAUAAAACCGUUGUGAUGCGAUUUCUAAUGUUUACUUGUUGUGAUUUGUAUUUUCAUUCUAUCUUAGGUUUAUUUGUUUCGUAUUCCAUUGGGCUCCUUGUAGCUUUGUUGUACUCUCCUUUCAUGGAGCGUAAACUCUUCUAAAUUCAAUACAAGUUGGUUUGAUCAAAAAAAAAAAAAAGUUUGAGACUUUCUUCUCUACAAAUCGCCUCGUCCUUUUACAAUCUCUUUCGAGUUUAAAAAGAAGUUAUCAAAUAUGUGUAUAUAUAAUUUUAAGUAUAAAAAUGACCAAUCCCAUGAAUUGGUUUAUUUUCAUUAAAUAUCAUUUAUAUAAUUCGUGAUCUGAUUUAAACUUACUUAUUAAAAUUAUUUAUUAAAUGAACUUAGAAGUGGAGUUCGUGCUCAUAAAAAGUUAAGCUGAACUAAGGCGGCCCAUGAACUAUAACUGAUUUUGACAUUUCUAGACGAUGAUGGUUUUGGUUUAGGCGUUUAGCCCUUUGUAAAGUUCAUUUAAUUAUUUAUAUAUAGACUAUUCUCGUACCAGGGAUUUAUAAAGUUCAUUUAACUUUGUAAAGUUUUCUUUUUAUAAAGGGGAGACAUAUGUUCAAGUGAAUCUGUGAUUGUUGAAGAGACAUAAACUAAUAUGGAACGAUACCGUUAUAUUUGAUAGAUUUUGUAGAUGCAGUAUUAUCAUUGGCACAUACUCUCUCCAAAUAUGAAGUAUGUUUAGCAUAUUAAGAAAUAAUAUAUGUUUAACUUAAGUUAUUAUUUCUUUUUUCUUAAUAAACAUUAUACCAUUCAUAUUUUUACAUUUUAAAACAAGAUAUAAUAAUUAAAGUUUUAAACAUCAGUCUUUUAAAAACAACAAAAAAAUCAAUAACAUCAACUUUGAACUUUAUAGUGAGUACUGUAUACAAAUCAUAUAUUAUUCUCUUUGGAUAGUUGGGUUUUUUUUUUUUUUUUUUUUUUUUUUUUUGAUAACUCUGGUAUCUGGGCAGCCGCAUUCCCAACUAUCCCCCGUAGGGGGUCCAGCGCCCCAACGGAAGGGAUGUUAAAUCCGCUGUAGCCGGGGCUCGAAGUCGUGAUGGCGGGCACCUCAACCGAAGUUCCUUUACCACCAGACCACGAGGCCCGGUUUGUAUGUGGAUGUCACUAAGUGUUCUUAAUUAGUGGACACUUUUAUACUUGUCUCCUUUUAUCAUGUACGUAAAUAUUAGUUGUCUAGUUUGAAACUAUUAUUCUCUUUGGAUAUAAUUAUUUAAUAAUUAAAUGUUAUUUAAAAUAUAUCAUUACCAGUUAAUAAAAUGUUUGAAAUUUAUUACAUAUAAUUAUGGGAAAUAGCAUUAUUUAACACGAAUCUACUUUCAAAUAAAGUUACAUGUUUACAAACACUAGAUUCCACUCCACCUUUUAAAUAAUUUUAUCAUCAAUCUGAUAAUAGUUAAAAAAAAGUACUAUAAUAUUUUAAAAUAGUAGUGGAAUUUCAGAAGGGCAAUUACAAAUGUGUAGAAACGACUAAAUAAAAUGAAAUGACCAUACCAAUAAAAAUAACUAAGUAUGAAAAUAAAAAUGAAUCGAUUGAAUACUAUAGUAUAACCUAUUUAAAUUAAUACUCUAUAAAUUAAUAUACACUAAAAAUCUCUAUAAAAUAAUAUAAUUUUAUAGUCUCAAAUCGAGUUUUUGGUUCAAUUAGUGUAUCGAUAAAUUAAUAUCUCUAUAAAUUAAUAAAAAAAUUAUAGUUUUGGUGUAUUACUAACAUUAUUAAUUUAUAGAGGUUUCAUUGUAGUAUGAAUUUAUGGGUUAGCGAGAUUGUUUGUAAUGUUUGGUUGUAUGUGGAUGUUACUAAAUGUUCUUAGUGGACACUUUUAUACUUGUCUAAGGGUGGGGUUUAAGAUUUAGGGUUUAGGGUUUAGGGUUUAGGGUUUAAAUUUUAGGGUUUAGGGUUUAGAGUUUAGAGUUUAGGGUUUAGGGUUUAGAGUUUAGGGUUUAUGGUUAGAGUUUAGGGUUUACGGUUUAGGGUUUAAAAUUUAGGGUUUAGGGUUUAGAGUUUUUGGAGAAGUAAUUUGCUUAUUUGUCAUGUAAUCCAUGAUUUUAGGGUUCAGUCAUUAGUUUUAAUUAUCAACUAGAUUUUGACAUGCACUUUCCAAGCGCGAGGUUUUUGGAUUAUAUUAUAAUACAAAGUCUUAUUAUAUCGAAAAAUAUAAUUUUUAACAGUUAUAUAAUCUAUGAAUUAGUUUAUUUGAGAUUUUAUAUCUACACUUUUACGUAAGUUUCAUUUAGGCAUGAAAAUUAUAUCCGGAUCAAAAACACAAACCGAACCGACCCGAAAAUAUAGGUUUAGUUCAGAUCCAGAGAAGAUAACCUAUUGUGUUUUUUUUCGGACCCGCAGGUAUUUGUUUGAGUCCGGGUCCUACCCUAGAUCUGAUCAUAAAUAUCUUGUAUUUAUUAGGUAUAUUUGGAUAUUUCGAAUAUGUUUCCGGUACUAUGGAUAUUUUUAUUAAGUUUUUGGUUUACGAUUAUAGUUUUUGAUUUCAGGUAAAUUUUCAAAUUAAAAAAAAAAAUUGGGUAUUUGGAUAAAAUUUUGGGUAUUUUUCUUCAGUGUCAGAUUUUGAAUAAGAUUUUGAAUUUUUAUGUAUUUGAAUUUUUUGGGUAUUUGUUUGGAGUUUCAAGUACUUUUCGUGUUUUGGAUAUUGUUCAGAUUUUUUAGAUAUUUCGAACUUUUUUAGGAUCCUAAAUACCCGAACAGAUGUGGACCCAUUACGUCCAUAUCAGGUCCAACAACCUUUUGAUAUAGAUUUUUAACGUUAUUGUACAAAAACAUGGUUGAUGAAAUAUUUUUCUGAGAAAAGAUAUCAUAAGGAAUAAUAUUAGGAUCUGUUAAAAAUAUUUAAAAUAUUGUAUGGUUAGAAUGAUUAAUGGUAUUACCAAAAAAAUAAUAAAUAGUUAUACAUGACUCCAACAACUUUUUUAUAUUAAAUUUUUUAAGACUUCUUCCUUUUUAAUAGUAUUGAUUCGUUUUUAAACGAAAAGUAUAUUAAAGUAUAAUAUCUAAACCAAUAAUUUUCAAAAUCGUGAAUAAUCAAUACUAAUAUCGUGAAGUCGGUUUAGCUUUAACAGAACCAAUGAAUUUCUACAUUUUUGUGAAGGAAUAUUCAGAAAACUCAUUUUUAAAUAUGAAAAUAUCUAUCAAACUAUAGACGGUUGAAAGUUUAGUAUAUGAUAUGAUAUUUUAGUGGAAAAAUUUAUAUAUGAUAUGAUUACUUUAUUAUAAAGGAAAGAGGAAGUUAGAAUGUACACAUAUAUGUCGUGUAACUUCUCUUGCUUUAAAUCAUAUAUUAUAUGAUAAAAGUGAUGAUAUAAAAUAUUAGUUUCAAUGCUUUACUAUUAAAAAUCAAAAUGGUAAUGAUUAGGAUUUAGGAGUGAUAUUUGAAUAAAUAAAGGAAUUGAAUCAAUUAUUGUUAGAGAAAUAUAUGGUAACAUAUUGUUAAUCUAAGUUUAAGGUAAGACCAAAAAAUAAUGAGUUAAAUGGAAGGGUCCAAACAACUUUCAUAGGUAGAUUUUUUAAGACUCAUUCCCUUUUAAUAGUAUUGAUUUUAGUUAGACUGAAUAAAUUUAUAAAAAAUAAUUAUAUAAUUUAUUAUUUAAUUGAUUACAAAUUAAUAUUAUAAAUAUUAUCUCAAAAAUAAAUGGAAUACAUAUUCGAAAAAAAGCCGUUAUAAUUCCCUUCACUUUGAUUUUCUUAACAUUAUCUUUCGUUAUCCAAUCAAUAUCAAACUUUGAGGCUGUGACAGUGCAUCGUCCUCUGAAGAAAGAUAAUUCCAUAUAUUUAUUUUGUGUUUAUCUACAUCUUUUAUUUUUAUUUGUUAAUUUUAUAAUUAGGUGGUAUAUAUACACAUAUAAUAAUUUUAUUUAUCAAUAUACUAAAAUAAUAAAAAUAUUUUAUGAAAAAUAAAAAAAUGAUUAAUAUUUGUUUGUAAAGGUAAUAUAUCAUGGAAUAUUUUUAAACAAUAUUAAAUUUAUUUUAAUAUUAAAAUAGGUAUGUAACCAAUAAUAAUAAAUUUGAUUCAUAUUUGUUUGUUAAAAUAAUGUUUUUUGGUAUUUUCAUUUUUAUUCUUAUUAUUCAGUUGCAAGAAUAACAUUUAUUUGUUAUCUAAGUUUAAGAAAUUAAUAUUAUUUGUUUUUGUUUUUAUAAAUUUUUUUUAUUGGCAAUGGAAUUAUUUUAGAAAUAUUUUCAAAAUAUCUGCUUCUAAAAGAGAAUAUUUUAAAAAUAUUAUUUUUAUUUACAAAAAGUAUCUUUUAUUUAUAUUUGUUUUAAAUUAAAUCUAUUUGCUUUUAAUUUUUUCAAGAGUUUUAGAGAAUUAUAAUUUAUUUAGAUUAAAAUUUCUUUAAAAGACUAUAAAGUAAAGAAAAAUGUGAUUUUAUAUUAUCAAUAUGAUAUGAUUACUUUAUUAGUUAUUAUGAGAGGUAUUUUACUAUAUAAUUAUACAUAUAUCAAUAUUUGUAUUUACUUUUAUUAAUAUAAUAUUUGAUUAAUAUAAUAUGUAAAUUUGGGUUCGGUUUAACAUUCUUGUGCUUUUGAUUUAUUUUGAAAUUUUGUAGGUUUUAAUAAUUCCAAGAAUUUGGUUUUAUAACAUCACUUUAUAUAUAUAUGAGACAUGAUGUAGCACACCCGGACUCAAGGAUUCAUUAACUGGAGUCUGGACAUGAUGUAGCAUAUCCAAAGCCCAAAGGCUACUAGGAAUUACGAAACAUAAAACAAGGUACCCUUGAGCAGGUUGAGAUUCAUUAUUUAUUAAGAAAGCAAGAAACAUAGAUGAUAAUUUGGAAGAAACAUAGAUGAUAACUUCCAAUGCAUUUGAUCAAAAUGCGUUAGAUCAAAUAGACACACUGUAGGGAACACCCAUCCCAGUAACGCCUGGUUCAGAGAUGGGCUUUAAAAGCUCGUACUUAACAACACCUGCUCCAGUUCGAUUCUUUAGAGAAACAUUCACGUUCCUCUCAUCUAUCACUCCUUCUAGGUAUUGGAGCUUGCCUUUGAAUCGUUCAUAUGCAGCAUAGAUGAUAGGUUCGUGGGCCCAAGAUGCUUCUGGGUUUUCUCCUAGGUACUCUUCAUCUGGUGAAUGUGCAGAUAGAAGAUCCAAAGUCAACAUCACUUUGGUCGCCUGCUUCUUCGACGGGAAUGUCUUAAGCAUGGUCUUCUCUGGCUCCUCAUAGAACUCUUUUAGCACUUCCUCUGUCGGCUCUUCCACUGGCAUUUUGGUUCUUGCUGUGGUUGGUCGGUUGGGAAAGUAUCCACCAUACCCGUACUGUCCAAAGUUUACAGCUGCAUGGUGACCUGAAGCCACCCAUGCAAUCGUGGUCACCACUUCAAUCAAGUCUUCUUGUGUUUUGAGGACAGGCCACCAUGGUUCAUUUUUCUUGUCUCCAUGCCCUAUGUUCCUCACUUCACUCCACCAUCCUUGGAGUUCCUCAUCCAACAUAACCUGUUCCGCAUCAUGCAUUUGCCUACUUUUUUACUUCACAUUAUAAAUUUAUAUACUCAAAAUGUGCUAGCUUCUUAUAUAAUAAUAAUAAUAAUAAUAAUAUGUUUGCCUUGUAAUUGUACUCACGGGGGUCGGUCUCGGCGCUAAUAAGCUCACAUCCCACAGCAUUAGACCGUCAUUCGCAAAUGGGUAAUCUGGUACCGUCAGGCGUACCCCAUGUUCCGCUGUCUCGUCUUCCACAGCCAGGCCCCUUUGAUAUCACAAAAAUUUUUAUGUAAAAUAUUUGUUAGCAUAAUUAUUAUAAAUCAGUGUCCAAGAACUCGUUAGAUGCACGUUAGGCGUUUUAUAUUAGGUUAUUAUUAGGCAGGUGCCUAAACCUAUUUUGAACGCUUAAAUCAAUCUUAUUUAAUUUAAAAAAUAGGUACAGAAGAAUUGAUUAAUUUAGAUCUGAUUUGAGUAAAGCGUCUAAGCCGAUUUUUAUAACACUUAAAUUAAUACUUACAAAGAAAUAAGUAUAAUCUUAGUAAUUACGUACCUGCUGACGAGGUCUGCAGGUAAGCCUUCCCUGUCAAACCUCCAUAGUUUAUCAUACACAUCUGAACUUUCUUUAUCUGUUUGCUUCUAUUUUGCUACUCUCUUGUGCAUCCCCGCUACAUCUAUUUAUACAAAUUUAAAAAAUAUUAAAUCUUUUCUCUUUCCAAAAGUAGAAAAAAAUUCUCUACAUACUGAGUCCUCGAGUUAGAAUGUUACUUUAUUGAUUAUAUGUGAUUACUAACUAUAUAAAUGGAUUUUAGUCAAAAAAAGGAUGUGAUUAUAAUUAACUUACAUAAGAACUAGAUAACUAACAGUAAGAGCCUGUCCGGCCCUGCGUUGACGAGACUUUGGCGUGCACGAGCGUUGAUCUCCAUCGUGUAGCGGAAAUGGGGAUGCAAAAGCCUAUAAAUAGGAUGCAUGGCACUUAGUUGUCUGUUUGCCGCUAUGAUAUAUGGCUCCAUACAGCAAUGAGUCCUCAGCCUGUAAGAUUUAAUGUCUAUACAGUUAAACCUAAAUACUGUUGUCAACAAAAUAACCAUUUGUAGGAUCUAGUUUGUCCAAUACCAGUGGGAAAUAAGCUGGUGAUAACCAGCGUCAUGAGAAAUAGCGUGAGUCUUAGCAAGACUCCAUAGCCAGCAGGAGGUAGCAUCAUAGCCUGGCGUGAAUACCUGCCUCCAUUGGGGCUUGUUUACAUCUUGGGGACGAGUCAACUCAAUGGCAACAGGUCUCAAUGUGCUAUCAUCGCUGAGGAAGAAUAGCGCUCGAGAAGCAUAUAAGGUGCUAUCAUCCAACUCUCGUAUCAAUACAAACAAAAUAGGUUAUGUUUUUAAAAGAUAUUAUAAGAUUUUAAAAAUAAACUGAUAUUUUCUUUGCUUUAAUUUCACAACUAUUUUUUUUUAUAUCUAAAUCAUAAUAACAUGAAACUUACUUAAUAAUUUAUUAUUAUAUUUAUAAACUAAUUUUUCGAUUAUACUACUUUAUACCUAUAUAUAUAUAUUGUUUAAAAAUAGGGGGUCCAUAAUGUAAGGCCCCAUGCAAAUAUUUCACAUCAAUAAAAUGAGACCCCAUGCAAGUGUAGACUUAUUUAUUGUGUUUUGGGAAUUUUCAAAUUUAGGAAAUUGCUAGUUUUUAGACGAACCUGUUUAUUUUUUAUUUUAAAAAGAAUCUUUUAAUUUUCUAUAAAAAUAUUUAAUUUUAUUACAUGUUUGAUGGAAAAAAACUGUAAUCUUUAAACCGACAACAGUGAUCCAACCCAUCAUAUAAUCAUACAAAUGAUAUAAUUUGUAAUCAAUUUAGUUAUUUAUUUAUUUUUCAAGUUAUAUUUAAUAUCUAUAUUUCGCUUUUAAUAUUUAUUGAUAAAUUAAGUUUUAAUUAAUACUAAUUUAAUUUUUUCUCUUAUAAUCUUAAGUAUUAAUCUUAAUAUCUUACAUGUUUGAUGAAAAAUAUGCAAUCACGAAAGCAACAACAGUAAUCCGAUCCAUAUAUAAUCAUACAGAUAAUAUAGUUUUAAAAAAUUACUUUCUCUCAAGUUAAAUAUAUAUAUAUAUAUAUAUAUACAAAAUGGACAACAACUGUACAACUCACUAAGAUAGUUGUUCUAAGAAAAAAAAACUCACUGAGAUAGUUGAUAAGGCAUUAAGAAAUAGAAAAAUGUCACCAAAGUACGAGCCCAUGACCCAUGAUGACAUUAGUAUGUAGGGCUACUACAGAGAUGGUUUCAACUUUCAAUUUUUUUUUUCAAGUUUCAAUUUGAUUUUGGCUACUUUUCUAUUCUUUUCUUUGCCACAUAGGUUAAACGUUUCAUAUAGGAACCGAGUUUGCAUAGAUUUUAUUCUUUUGUAAUGCAUGUCUUUUUGAGUGAUUAAUAAAUUUAAAAUUUCAUCCAAAAUUUUUUUAAACUAAAACUUAUUUAAAUAUUUUUUUAAUAGUAACUUUUAAAAUUAAGUUUAUUUGAAAACGUAAUUAUAUGUUGUUUUAUGUGCAUAAUUUUUAAUAUAUUACCUAAUUUAAUUAUAUUUAUUAUUUAAUUUAAUAAUUUUAUUAAUAUAAUAUAUAAAUAUGAUAUUAACUUAAAAUAUAUAAAAUUUUCUUUGUAUAUAUAAUGUAUAAAAUCUAUUCAGCAUUCAUUUUCCAGUGUCUUUUUCACAAAAAGUAUGGGAGUUGGUACCUUACCACCUUUAGGCGGAUUGGAUCAUUUGCCUCUGAACUCAUUUAAUUAUGGUUGGAAGUUGGCUUUGAAGGCUACUACAUUCCCACGUACCAAAAUUUAUGACUGUCCCUUGGCGCCUUGGAUAAUCUCAGCAAUCUAGAUGACAAGAAAUUUUAAAAUUUUCCAGCAUCUUCAUUUCUUGGCGCAAGACACAAUGACUAAGGCUAUUACAGAUACUAAGGGUUUCAGAAUUUAAUCGGGUUUUCAGUUCCAAAUUUUGUUUAUACUUAGUUAAACGUGAAAACUAAAUAAUGACCCAGUGAAACAAAUAUUAAAAAUUUGAAAUGAGAAAUGUGAAAUGCUCUUGUCACAAUUAUUUUUGGUUCCAAUGUAAUAUUUGACAAGUGAAAUUAGAAAACAAAACUCAAAAACUAUGUGCAAAUACAUCAUAUCUGAUAAACCAGAAGCAUGAACACAUCAAACCCGAUAAAGUUGACUAUAUAGAAGAAGGAAGAGCACCAAAUACCAAAAUAUAUUAAACUAAUAAUUUGUGUUAAUUAUUAUAUAAUAGACACUUAUUUUAGGUACUCAAUGAAAUUUUAGAGUAUUUUGGGUAUUUAUUCGGGAUUGAGUUCAGGUUUAGUAUAAAUAUCUUUCUGGAAUUAUGAAUUUUUAGUUUGUUCAGAUAUCCAUUUGGGUUCGGAUUCGGUUUGGAUAAAAUCAUGACCCAAAAUAUCUUAACAUAAGUCUCAUUCAGUAUUUAUGUCGGAUUCAGUUCGAUCGAAUUCAUUUUUGUCAUGUUGGUUUGGGUUUGGGUUUUCGGAUUCGGUUUGUUUCCCACCCGUAAAAAGUAUAUUGAAAGAUAAGGGUCGACGCCAUGAACAUGCCUCAUCCAACAUCGUAUUUUGUUUGUUGUGGGUUAAUGCCCAAAAGACCAAAUCAAAGAUUAGGGUUGAUGUCAUCUGAUCUUUUUGAAAAUCAGAUUUAUGUAACUAGUAGCAAAGUUUCAUCGGAGGGCUAUUUUAGUGAUCAAUUUGUUUUUAGUUCAGUCUAAAUUUUAUUUAAAUUGGAAUUUCUUAAGUAUAGUUAAUUUCUUGGUCAAUUAUAUUUUCUUGAGAGAAUUAACAAAAUGAAACACACUAAACUUUAGUUUAUUUCAUUAGGACUUUGUUAAUAGGCUAUUAUCCCUUGAUUAAUCUAAUUUAACCUUAACUAAAAUAAAAUAAAAACACUAAAUUAAAAAAAAAAAUUCUUCCUCAAAGCCCUUUUCACUCAACCUUUGUAUCUCUUUCGCUCAUCUUCUUGCUGAACCCUAUGUUCUUCUUCUUUCUUCUUCAAUGGUGAUUUCCAUGUAUGCUAUAUAUAUCGUAGCUUCUUCUCUUUUAGUCCAAGUAGUUUUGUCCCUAUCAGAAGACUCCGCAGUUCCAUCUUCUAGAGAUUUUCAUCAGCAGAGCCACUGGUACAAGCAUUUAUAUAAUUGAUUUGAGUUGUUGUAUGAAGCUCUUAGUCUCUUAGAUCAAAAAAAUGAUGAGGGAGUGAACGAAUGAUUUCAGUGUUGAUAUUUCAAUGGAUUGAUUGUUUGAAGCUUGUUGAUGACAAGAUCACGGAGAUUGCUUCAUGAGAAAUACUUGAAGCAGCACAAUGUGAAGGAUUUGCUCAGAGUUAUUGCAGCCAACAAUAAUCGUAACCUCUAUGAGUUGAGGGAUUUCAACAUCACUGAGAACGAAGCAGAGGAAAAUGGCUACAAAAAUGAUUAGUUUCUCUUCCUCUCUCUCUCUACAAUUGUCACCGUCUUGGUAAAGAUAUUAUUCUAGUUUGAUUGAAGUGAAAUACACUUUCAUUUGUGAUUGCGCCGUUAGAAAUAUUAGUGAUUUAAUGUAUGUUUAACUAUAAAGUAGAAAAAUGUAUUUAAUUUAAUAACUUACAAAAUAAAUGUUAGGUCCAACACAAUGUUUCUGUUUUAAUAAUAUAAAUUAUCAUAGCCUACCCGGAUUUACAGUAAUUCAAUUUCAGUAUUUUUGUUAAUUUAAAAGUUUACUCGGAUCUGGUUAUGAAUUUUCAUCGAUUUCAUAAACUUUUCGAGGUAAAAUUGUUUUAAUAGGCCUUAACUUACUAUACUUGAAUACAAUCUUCAAUAGGUCAGGUCAACUCGAUGGGGUCAUUUUCCUACGUCCAACAAUAUUUGGUCCAAUAAACAUAAGAUAACCACACAUUAAGUCUUAUUCCCAAAAGAAAUGACAACAUCAAACUCCUUCACCGCUGCCCAGCACAAAGUACCCCUUGAGCAGGUUGAGAUUCAUUAUUUAUUACAAAAGCAAGAAACUUAGAUGAUAAUAACUUGGUAGAAACAUAGAUGAUAACUUCCAAUGUAUUUGAUCAAAAUGCAUUAGAUCAAAUAGACACACUGUUGGGAACACCCAUCCCGGUAAGGAUGCAUUAGAUCAAUUAGUGAUUUAAUGUAUGUUUAACUAUAAAGUAGAAAGAUGUAUUUAAUUUAACAACUUACAAAAUAAAUGUUAGGUCCAACACAAUGUUUCUGUUUAAUAAUAUAAACUAGAUUUUGAUCCGCGCUUUCAAAGCGCGGGUUUAUUUUCUUUUUGUUCAAUGGUCAAAAUAUUUAGUAAAUGUCAUAUUUCAUAUAUUUGUGUUUUAUUUUAUAAAAGACUUAAACUUUUUAUCUUUCUUUAUCGUGUUUCAUUUUAAAUGACUAUUUAUGUUUAAAAAAUUAAACUUUAUUUUUUUAAUGAAUUAAAUUGGUAUAACUCUGAUAAAUUAAUUUUCUUAUGUGGUUAAUAUUUUUAAUAAAAAUAAUUAUAUACUUUUAAUAAAGAUUUAUACUUUUCAAUGAAAAAAUCAAUUUUUUUUUAUGAAUGCUUAAAUUAUAUUAAGAAAAGAAAAAAAAUAAUUAAGAAUGGUUGAAAAAAAAUUAUUUGAAUUUGGACUCAAUGGCCCAAAGAAAAAAAAUGUGAGAAUUGGAUCUGAUUUCUUAAUCGGCCCAAAUGGUCCAAGAGAGAUCUGAUGUGGACAGUGGGCUGGAUCCGAAAAAAAUGGCCAAAUAUAGAAGUGUUAUUAAUAUUACUUGAUUGCCCUUAAUGAAACAUGCAAUGUUAGUAAAAAAAGGGCACACUAAGGUAAAAAGGACAAUAGGAUCCUGCUUUAAUAGUAUAGAUUAUCAUAGCCUACCCGGAUUUACGGUAAUUCAAUUUCAGUAUUUUUUGUUUAUUUAAAAGUUUACUCGGAUCUGGUUAUGAAUUUUCAUCCAUUUCAUAAACUUUUCCAGGUAAAAUUGUUUUAAUAGGCUAACUUACUAUACUUGAAUACAAUCUUCAAUAGGUCAGGCCAACUCGAUGGGGUCGUUUUCCUACGUCCAACAAUAUUUGGUCCAAUAAACAUAAGAUAACCACACAUUAAGUCUUAUUCCCAAAAGAAAUGACAACAUCAAACUCCUUCACCGCUGCCCAGCACAAAGUACCCCUUGAGCAGGUUGAGAUUCAUUAUUUAUUACAAAAGCAAGAAACUUAGAUGAUAAUAACUUGGUAGAAAGAUAGAUGAUAACUUCCAAUGUAUUUGAUCAAAAUGCAUUAGAUCAAAUAGACACACUGUUGGGAACACCCAUCCCGGUAAGGCCUGGUUCAGAGAUAGGCUUCAAAAGCUCGUACUUAACAACACCUGCUCCAGCUCGAUUCUUUAGAGCAACAUCCACGUUCCUCUCAUCUAUCACUCCUUCUAGGUAUUGGAGCUUGCCUUUGAAACGUUCAUAUGCAGCAUAGAUGACAGGUUCGUGGGCCCAAGACGCUUCUGCGUUUUCUCCUAGGUAUUCUUCAUCUGGUGAAUGUGUCGAUAGAAGAUCCAAAGUCAACAUCAAUUUCGUCGCCUGCUUCUUCGACGGGAAUGUCUUAAGCAUGGUCUUCUCUGGAUCCUCAUAGAACUCUUUUAGCUCUUCCUCUGUCGGUUCUUCCACUGGCAUUUUUAUCCUUGAUGUGGUUGGUCGGUUGGGAAAGUAUCCACCAUAUCCGUACUGUCCAAAGUUUACAGCUGCAUGGUGACCUGAAGCCACCCAAGCAAUCGUAGUCACCACUUCAAUCAAGUCAUCUUGUGUUUUGAGGACAGGCCACCAUGGUUCAUUUUUCUUGUCUCCAUGCCCUAUGUUCCUCACUUCACUCCACCAUCCUUGGAGUUCCUCAUCCAACUUGACCUGUUCCGCAUUUGGAUAAUAGUGAUUCACAUAGUCUGUUACCCAUUCCUUAAGUGCAUCCCACAGCAUCAGACCGUCAGUCGCAAAUGGGUAAUCUGGUAUCGUCAAGCGAACCCCAUGUUCAGCCGUCUCAUCUUCCACAGCCAGACCCCUUUGAUAUCACAAAAUUUUAAAUGUAAAAAGUUGUUAGCAUAAUUAGUAUAAAUCGAUGUUCAAUAAAUCAUUAUGCGCAUAUUAUGCGUUUUGUAUGAGAUUAUUGCUUGUGUUUAGACCGAUUUUUUGAAUGCUUAUUUAAAAAAAUAGGUGUAGAAAAAUCAUUUCAUUUAGAUCGUGUAGAAAAAUCAUUUCAUUUAGAUCCGAAUGGGCGGACGCCUUGGAGCCAAGUUUUAGAACACUUAAAUUAAUACUUACAAAGAAAUAAGUAUAGUCUUAAUUAGGAACUAUGUACCUGCUGAUUAGGUCUGCAGGUAAGCCUUCCCUGUCGAACCUCCAUAGUUUGUCAUAGACAUCUGAACUUAGCUCUAAUGAAUACUUUCCGGGCCAGAAACAAGACUCAAUGAUUCCACCUGCGUUGACGAGACUUUGGCGUCCACGAGCGUUGAUCUCCAUCGUGUAGCGGAAGUGGGGAUGCAAAAGCCUAUAGAUAGGAUGCAUGGCACUUAGUUGUCUGUUUGCCGCUAUAAUGUAUGGCUCCAUACAGCAGUGAGUCCUCAGCCUGUAAAAUUUUCCAUCUUUUAACAGCAAUAACACAUACGCAGAAUCUUCGAAAUUUUUUUUUAAAAAAAAAUAACACAUACCGACAUACGUCUAAUGUGUAUAACCAUAUAUAUACGAGAGGAUCAAGUUCGUUCAAUACCCGUGGGAAAUAAGCUGGUGAUAACCAGUGUCAUGAGUAAUAGCGUGAGUCUUACCAAGACUCCAUAGCCCGCAGGAGGUAGCAUCAUAUCCUGGCGUGAAUACCUGCCUCCAUUAGUGUUGUUCGUUUGGUUGCCGCAGCUACCUGCGUCAGCGGCUGCGGCAAUGUUUUGAAAAAUUCGUGUUCGUUUGGUUGACGCAGGAAGCUGCGUCUGAAGCUGCGUCUGACGCCGCGUCCGAACGCCGCGUCCUGCGGCUGACGCCGAUAAAACCCGCGGCUGCUACGUAAAUUAUGCGGCCGAUAACGUAAUUUACUAUUUUGCCCUCAAUAUGUUUCAGUAUUUACAAAAAUACCUAACCUAGAUUGACGCAGCCGCAUCUUGUUUUCCAAAUUGACGCAACCUUGCUAUCUCUCUCCAUCUCCAUCUCAGGCAGACCUCGAGCUCUCUCAUCUCCAUCUCCGAUACAGACCUCGAGCUCUCUCAUCUCCAUCUCACACAGCCACGAGCUCUCUCAUCUCCAUCUCCAUCUUCGACGUAGACCUCGAGCUCUCUCAUCUCCAUCUCAGACGCAGACCUCGAGCUCUCUCCUCUCUGGCGCAGCACGAGCUCUCUCCUCUCCUCCGAUUUGGGUUUCAAGCAUAGUUGAGGUAACUGUCACUUGUCUCUAUUUUUGUGUUUCAUAUGAGUUUUUGGGAGUAUGUUUUGGAUCCAAGAUCCAAGUUCAUAACUAAGACAAGAAGAAGCUGAUAGUGAUGGUCUUUGUUCUAAAGCAUUUAGGAUAUGGGUUUGUGUCUGAUGGGGAUGGUUUGCUGAUGCUUUUGUUCAUAACUAUCAGUUCCCUCUGAUACUGUAUUGAUAUGUACUUUGUCACAGCUAUUGGAAAGAAGUGCUUGAAGAGAGGCGUAAAAUCAACUGGGUGCUUGCAAAAACCUUGUGGCUAGAGCUUGUCUGGACUGUUGACUGGUGGGCAGGAGUAAAGGUACCCUCUUUUCCCUAUUUAUAUGCUACUGGGUUCUUUCUACUGACUGCAUUUGUCUAAGUAACUUGAGUUUUGGUGUGUGAGGAGUUUGCUUGUGUGACAUGUUAUGUUUCUCUUCUCAUCGUUGUUAUAAAAAAUCUCCUUCAAGGUCAUUAAAGGUUUUUGGGACGGCAAGAGUUGAUGGUGGAACCAUUUUUUUGCUCGAGUGCUUUGAAGUUUUCCUUGAUAGUGUGAGGUUGAUGUUGAUGGAAUAAUGANNNNNNNNNNNNNNNNNNNNNNNNNNNNNNNNNNNNNNNNNNNNNNNNNNNNNNNNNNNNNNNNNNNNNNNNNNNNNNNNNNNNNNNNNNNNNNNNNNNNNNNNNNNNNNNNNNNNNNNNNNNNNNNNNNNNNNNNNNNNNNNNNNNNNNNNNNNNNNNNNNNNNNNNNNNNNNNNNNNNNNNNNNNNNNNNNNNNNNNNNNNNNNNNNNNNNNNNNNNNNNNNNNNNNNNNNNNNNNNNNNNNNNNNNNNNNNNNNNNNNNNNNNNNNNNNNNNNNNNNNNNNNNNNNNNNNNNNNNNNNNNNNNNNNNNNNNNNNNNNNNNNNNNNNNNNNNNNNNNNNNNNNNNNNNNNNNNNNNNNNNNNNNNNNNNNNNNNNNNNNNNNNNNNNNNNNNNNNNNNNNNNNNNNNNNNNGCGUCUGCGCCUGCGGCAAUGUCCUGCGUCUUAGAAACGAACAACAAAUUGCGUCUGCGGCUGCGGCUGCGGCUGAGUCUGCGGCUGCAAAACGAACAACAACCAAAGGAACAGACGCAGCCCGUAGCCGCAGACUCAGCCGCAGCCGCAGCCGCAGGAACCUGCGUCAAUGAAACGAACAUCCCUAUUGUGGCCUGUUUACAUCUUGGGGACGAGUCAACUCAAUGGCAACAGGUCUCAGUGUGCUAUCAUCGUUGAGGAAGAAUAAUGUUCGAGAAGCAUAUAAGGUGCUAUCAUCCAACUCUCUCACUUUGUUCACAUACGGUAGAAGCAAAUCAUGAUAGUCCAACAUGAACAAUCUCUUGUUCUCCAGAGCCUGCAUGCACACAUCCAUUGAUAUUUAUUCAUUAUGGAAAUA
rnacentral:lncRNA from 1 species